rnacentral:lncRNA from 1 species
GGGAUGGUAAUCUUUCCCAAUUGCUGCAGGGUGUGAGAAAUAAGAUCAACCGAGUUGCUUCUGUAAGAUCUCCAUUUCAUUUAGUACUCUUGUGUGAUUAUGCAUCCUCUUUUAUUUUCCAACAAAAUCUAGUUUUCUUUUUUUUCUUUCUUUUUUUUUUUUCAAGUCAACCUGUAAAGUCUAGUUUUUUUUUUUUAUUUUAAAUCCAGCUAUUUGUUUUUUUUCUUUUUCACUUCUUGAAUUCUUAGUUGUAUGCCUUCUUGUCUACAGAACUGGUCUAGGGAAGAGAAGGACCACUGUUUGGAGGAGACAGAGAAGUCAUUUAUAUAUUCAGGAGAAAUACUCCGUCUAAUACUGUCCUAGUUAAAGUGAGAAGAAACUUGUUUGUUGUAUCAGAUGUAUAUACAUAUACUUUUAAUCCGUUGUUUGCGUCGUCAAGACUUAUCUAGACGAUUUCAUGUCUUCCCAUGGAAUUUGCUCAGUAAUUGUAUAACUUAUUUCCUUUUACCCUUGGUUUCUUGGGUAACUGAAUUUGUGUCAUGUUGGAAGGCAAACUUGAUGCAGCUGUUUAUUGCCGUAACCAAGCGGAAAAGAACAGAAGGUUGUAUCACCCUUGUUUUGAGCCUGCAUUUAGUGAGAUUUGAAUUCGCUCUGUAGAUGUAUUCUGCGUGGGUAGGCAGUAAACUGUUAGUCUUCUUCCCCUCUGCUUUUUUCUUAUUUUUAAUCGCUGAUAUCAUGCUACCUAUCAACUUGUUGAGAAGAGCUAAUUUUGUUUAUUGAGAUUGUACGUGCUCUGUAGAUUAAGAAGUUCACACAUGCCCACACUGAUGUGCGGCACUAGUUACCCUGGACUACCCAAGUAAUGUUGCAUUCUUUAAUGGAGAUUUGAUAUUUGACUAUCCCAGUAAUGCUGCAUUCUUUAAUGGAGAUUUGAUAUUUGAUAAGCCAUUCGGCGAGGAGGAACUUUAUUUCUGUUAGAGAGCAUAUCAUUAAUUGAGAUUUGAUUCCUGUUAAAGAGCAUAUCAUUAAUGGAGAUUUGAUAUUUGACGAGCCAUUGGGCGAGGAGCAACUUUACUCUUGUUAGAGAGCAUAUCGUGCUGGUCACUGUAAUAAAGAACCAGAGUUGACUAGAGACCGAAUCAAAUAGAUUGACUAGCUUAAAAGAUUGCUGGGGUGCAGAUGACUGUCUCUAAAUGAGGGUUAAGUUGGAAAAUGAAUAGUCAACGCCAUAUCUUACCUGUAAUAGUCUUUCACUUUCUAAAUUUGGAAUUAAUAUUUUCUAUAAAUAAGGGUGUAAGCUAUACAAUCACUUUUUUAACUUUUUUAAGCGGCAGUCAUUUUCGCUUUCCUGAGCAAGUUUCUUCUUACACCUUUCUUCUCUGGCACCCUUCUUAUACCUACCUUUCAUCUUGAGUUGAAGUAGCUAAUAUACAAUGGUAUGAUAUAUAAUUAUGGAAGACUAAGUUUUGUCCUACAAUGCACACUGUCUAUUCCUAUCGAAACUGGAUCACAAGUAGUUUUUGUCUUUGCAUGAUUAGUUUCUUGUAAUUGAAGAUUUUUUUUUUCCCGCUCAUUAAAUUAAAAGAAAAAAAAGAUGAUCUGUAUUAGAAUCGAUAGCAAAGGAUUGAUUGAGGAGGGUGAAUCAGUCAGUGCCUCCGUGUCAGUCGGUUUGCUGAGAUAUUUUAUCAAUUUUUUUUUUUUAUUUUAUUUUUGGCUGUAAACUGGUCAAAAUGUAUAUCUAAUAAUUAAUUAAGAUUCACCAGCUCAGAUGUAUGUCUAGCAAUAAUCAGGAUUUAUAGCAUACAGGUACUUUCUUUUCCGAGGCACGUACAGCAGUAGUAGUUGACAGAGAAUGAUCAAGAAAAGUCCCUAAAUCCCCCUACUAGUGUUGGCACUCUUUAGACAAAUGCCCAUAUUGGAGUUGUAACUAGUAGGGGAUGUAGUUCUAUAUAUCUUUAUUUAUUUAAAUCUGUUUUGGUUUUUGAUGUGCUGAUCACUUUACACGAAUCAAGGUACCCGCAAAUAAUAUACUCUUGUUGGAAGAGUAGCGGGGAUUAAAAGAAUUCUUUCUUCUUCUUUUUUUUUUACAUUCGUAACUUGGCACUCCUCGUUCUUUUGUAACUCGUUAGAUUUGGAGCUUAUGUAUAUUUUAUUUUAUUAUAUAUACACAGGCCAUUUCGAACAUUGCUCUGGCGCUGCUGUGUGUUUGGUGGGCCGCAGCAGAAGCAGGCUCUCGAAUAUACGACGUCGUGGGCCACGGAGCCCAUGGGGACGCCAAAACGGACGACACCAAGGUUUUAUGAUUUUACAACAGAAGCAGGCCUUACUUUCAUUUGAGUGGGCCCCGUUCUCACACGCCCAUAUAACUUACGGAUGUAAAUCAAUGGGGAGCGUUUAACGGGCUCAAAAGUUAAACGUGCUUUUUUUCUCUUUUUUUUUUUGUUUUAUUUUUUAUGUUGGGCUAAAAAGAUAGAGUUGACGCUCCAAAAAUAGACUCGUGAGCAAGGGGGCGAAUUAGUCGUAUCGUAUUGAUUGGGGCCAUGCAUAGAGUUAACCCGUGGAUCGGGCCCGGCCUUUCUCAUUGAUUGAUAUAUAUAUAUAUUGCAAGCCUGUUUUCGGAGCUGUCUCAGCUUCUAACCCCAGGAGGGAAAAGAAGCGUUGCGUUUGCAGGUUAAUAAAAAAUUCAAUUAGAUUCUCGUUUGCACGUGCAUCAGAGUCGUCGAGAUUUUAAAUUUAAUUAAAAGUUCAAUUAAAUUCAAUUAUUAUUAUUAUUAUUAUUAUUAUUAUUAUUAUUUGUUUUUGUUUUCGUCGAUCUCUCCCUACGUAUUCUCUCUCUCUCUCUCGCUCGGCAGGCAUUUGAAGAAGCAUGGAAGGCGGCGUGCUCGGAUCCGGCGAAUCCAACCAUGGUUGUGCCCUCAGGGAAGACAUUCCUGCUGAGCUUCAUCUCCUUCCGAGGGCCCUGCAACUCUAAUAAGAUCCGUGUCCGGGUAUAUAUAUAUAUAUAUAUAUAUAUAUAUAUAUAUACAUAACAUAUAAUAUAUAUGUGCUGUCCCUUCCCCACCACUCCGAAUUAAUGUUUAAUUUUCUCUGCCGUACGUGUUGUACAUGUUAUUAUUUUUAUAUAUAGAGGAGCAAAUUAAGCAACCGGGCAUAACAAAUAGAUCGAAUGCUCUACGUACGAACGUACGUACUAUAAUAUAUUAUACGAUGAUUUCAUUUCAGAUUGAGGGAGACAUCGUGGCACCGAGCCAAGUGGGGCUGCAGCAUUCCAACGCGGACCAUUGGAUCACCUUCGCCGACGUCAACGGCUUAACUGUCGACGGAUCGGGCCAAAUCGACGGCCGAGGCUCUCUUUGGUGGGCCUGCAAAGCCACUCCUGAUGUAAUUUUAAACACUUCUUCGCUUCCUUUAUAAUAAAUAAUAAAUAAUAUAUUACCUUUUCUUGUGGAAUUUAUGUUCUGAGGAUUAAAAAAAAAAAAAAAGAUAAAACAAAAACUAAAAAAAAAACAUAAAUUAUACGAAAAGGUUAACUGUGGCCGUAUUGAUGAUGAUCGAUGGUGCAGGGUUGUUCCAGCAUCCCGAUGUACGUAUGUGAUCUCCGACCAGCAUUAAUUAGAUAAACUCGCAACUAUCCUUUCAUCUAUCCAUGUAUUAGUAUCUAUAUAAUAUAUUAUAUAUAUAUAUAUAUAUAUAUAUAUAUAUAUAUAUAUAUAUAUAUAUAUAUAUAUAUAUAUCUUUCUAUGACUCAGUACCCUAGCUAGCUUGUAGUAUAUAUAUAUAUAUAUUCUUUUGUGCAACUACAGUCGUUUGCCAUAAUGAGAUGUCAAAAUGUUGAGCUGAGCGGGCUGAGGUUUAAGGACAGCCCCAAGAAGCAUGUCACAGUCGACGACAGUGCUUGGGUUCGUGUGUUUGGCAUAACCGUCGAAGCACCGGAAGACAGUCCCAACACCGAUGGGGUGCACAUCGAGCGCAGUCGGCACGCGGAGAUAGUAGAUACUAGCAUAGGCACAGGGGACGACUGCAUAUCCAUUGGACCGGACACCGCCGAUCUUAAUAUAAGCCGUAUAACCUGUGGACCCGGACACGGCAUCAGGUGUGCAUGCUUUCAACUUAGUAGCUUAAUUUUUAUGGCCAAUUAUUAUUAUUAAACUUCUAUACUGGUUUGCAUUCCGUGUGAUGAGAGAUCCCUCCCUGGAGCAAUAUUACUAGGUAAGAGUACGGCAAAGGCAAGUAAUUUUAUAGCCUGGGGAAUUCGUAACAUUCGCUGCACGUUAUUGCAGCAUCGGGAGCUUGGGUAAGGACGAAUCCGAGGCACGGGUGGAGCAGAUACACGUCUCAUCGUGCAGUUUCUUUGGAACUUCUAAUGGUGUUCGGAUCAAGACAUGGCAGGUAAACUCAAGCGAUGACAGCAUGAAUAACGAGCUAACGAACGAACCUCUGCAGGAGAUGAUCGAGUAUUGUGACUUGGCUGUAUUCAGCGGUGACGAACUUUACUGUUAUCUGCCAGGGAGGUUCUGGUUUUGCAAGACGGCUAUUAUUUGAACAGCUCGAGUUUGACUCUGUCAAAAAUCCCAUAGUCAUAGACCAAUACUACUGUGAUGGCGGUCACAAAUGCCACAAUGAGGUACCAGUACAAUUAAUUCUCUGUACGUAUUAUAUAAGCAUAGAUACGAGUACUACAAUUCUUGCUAGUCUAUCGUUCAAUUUGGCUUCGAAAAUAAGGGUCCUAGAUUAGGAAUGUAUGGUUUGCUAUUAAAUUGUGAAGCAUGUGGCUGGGCUUCCCCAGACACCUUGAACAUGCUCUUAACUUAUUCACGGACGCCUGAUUAAUCCUGAUGCAGCCAUCGGCCGUCGAAGUUAGCGACGUGCGAUAUGCUGGAGUCAUAGGGUCAACGACAAAGAACAUCGCAAUCACCCUCAACUGUAGUCGAAACAUCGCUUGCACCGGCAUCAUCAUGGAGAAUAUCAGCAUUUCGCAUGUCGAACCAGGCGCUCCAACUUCCUCCUUCUGUGUCAACGCCCACGGAAGGAUGAAAGAGCCCGUCGUUCCUCGGGUCCCUUGCUUGAACUAACAUACAAUGAUACUACAGGCAACAGUUGUCCUGCGUGACACCAUGACUGUAGCAUCCCAUAGAGAAUAUAUAUAUAUAUAUAUAUAUAUAGAGAUAGAUAGUUAUCAUGAGAACGCGCAUAUUUUGAAAUUUCGGUUCCUAACAUGAUUUUGGAAUCGCCAUUAUAUAGGUUAUGCGAUUAUGUUUAUGGAAAGUAACCCGCACUAACAGUUUCUCGGCAGGACACAUGAAAAUACAACCAUAAGGUACAAUAUAAACUCGAGUGAGCAGUGCCAAUUGGCGUAAACGUCUAACAAGAACACGAAUUGUCACCUGUGCUAAUAGGAUCAUCAGUUUAAAUUAAUUUUAAGCUCACAAUCAUUGCUUAGAAUGCUAAUUUAUAACUCCAUAUUCUGUUAGAGAAAAUGGAGCACGAAAGAGUGGAGAUUUCAAAUUCAAAGCUUAGUUAUUUCACAUUUCUAGUUAAGUUUGGACGAAACGGAUAACAUGCCACCUCUCUCUCUCUCUCUCUCUCAAAAAAAAAAAAAAAAAAAAAAGAAGAAAAAAGAAUGGAUGGGUAUCAAACCAUUUUUUAAAAUUACUUAAACAUGCCAGGAAAAAGAAUAAUUAUGGCAACAAACACAAUGUACACCAAUGAUGUGGCUGCCGAGAAUGAACCUACUAAUUCUGAGAAUACCCACAAUACCAACAACCAUAUACGAACCCACCCCAGCUAAUAACCUUUUCUGUUCGUUCGUUCGUUAGUUGGUUGGUUUUUCUCCCUCAAAAUCCCGUCAAUAGGAGGCUGGAUGUCUCGUGGCAACAAAGGGUUCAUACAGCAAAAGACAAUCUAACUGAAAGGCUUUCUUUAGAUCUUUUACAAAGCCAUUUUUCUGAUAGACAUCUCUUUGAGGGUACUUAAAGAUCUAUGGAAUAACUUGAGAUUCUGCCCAAUCUUAUCCUGCAAUAGAAGCAGCAAGUCAACAAAUGAAGGAGAGUCAAAACAAUCUGAAUAUAUUUCAAUCAAUCAGGUACGAAGCUCUGUCGAGAUAAACACAAAGGAAUAAGAGACAUGAAACUAAAAAUACCAGAAACAAUCUUAAUUCAGUCAAACAACCAUAUUGGUCACAAAUGUUUGAAAGCUAUCAAAGCAUACUUGAAAUAUAAAAAUCCACAAGGAAGAUUUUACAGUACCUCUUUGAACUGCUCUAGUCUUUCCAGAAUAGGAUGCAAUUUCCCACAAAACAAAGAAAGAUCUUGUGGAUCAGUAUUGCUGCAAAGAUAAGACAUCGUGCAACCAUUUUAGACUAAAAUAGAAUAAACCGUCAAAAAAAAAAAGGAAAAGGAAAAAUAAAGACCAAGUUCAUUAAUGUGCGAUGAAGUGUUCAACAUCUAAUUUACAGAAGCUGCUUAGAAUUGUAGGGCGAGAAUCGUCGGUGCAGGUACUUCUAAGCCAGACUUUGAUUUCAAAGAACAGAAGAAACAAGUAGCAAACAAGUAAGGGUGAUUCGCUACUUAACCUAUUCUAGGUUAGCCAAAUUCUACUAGAAGCAAUCUGUAAACCUAAAUAUUCACUUUUCGCAUGCUUCCUUUUCAUGGAUAGAAACCAAAAACAAACAAACAGAUCAGAAUGAAAUAGUCAUACUCAUCCUGAAAAUGAAUAAGAAUGAUGUUGAUAGCACACUCAGCAAGCUGGAGCAGGAGAGUAAUGAGGCGAUCCCUAUUCCCAACCAUGUGGCACAUCUCUAUCAUCGCAAUGUAUCUCCUGUACCAAAGGUAACUGGUUGUAUAAUAAAUAGCUCUCUGCCAGUACAAGCAGUUAUUUCCUGCCUAAUGGUAAUGCAUGAUAAAUAAAUGAACUACCAAAUAGAGUUGCAAACAUAAAAGGCUGCUUGUAAAAAAUAGCAACCGCAUGCAGAACAUGGUGUAAGUAUGCAAAUAUACUAUUGUAAUAAUAGCAAUAAAAGACUAAAUGAACAUAACUACAAAUUUUAAUCAGCGAAGACUUGAGGAAUAGCAUACAAUUUUCCUUACCUCUUACGAAUAUCAUCAGAAGAAGAGAUGCAAUCUUGCCUCAUGCAUACUUUGAUUAUUUCAUCUACAUCCUGUCUUGGAAGUUCGUUAAUGUCUCGAAUCUAGAAAAUCAAAGAGACAGUAUAAGAAACCAUGACAUCCUGCAUAUGCUUCAUUAAGAAAGAAUUUAACCACGGAAAUACUCCUCUCCAUAUUCUGUAAAGUUUGAACUGUUUUCCUCACCAAAGUGUCCUUUCCCUAAUCCCUCACAACAUGAAAUUUUUAUCCAGCAUAAACAAACCAUAAAUCCGCUAAAAGUCCAAAGACAAGCAAACUGGAUUCUUUAUCAGCGUUACCUUGUUGAGCAACAAAAUUUUUUCUUCCCCUGCACUUUCAAGAGUAAUUGCUAUUGAGUUAAGAAGAGCCAAGAGCGAUUCUAAGGUAGGUGGCUGCCUAUUCAGAUCACCAUCAGAAUUUAAAACCUACCAAGCCAACAGAACAAAUGAUCAACGCGAUACAAAAGACGACAUAUUGAUGAAAACAUGAUAGCUAUGCCCCACAUAUAUAUCAUUAUAUUUUAGCAACUAUUUUGACAGGAAAAUAUUCAUAGCAAUUAAAAUCAAGAAUUCACGUAGCUGGCCACCAGCUAGUAACUAAUCACAGAAUGUAGCAACAUAAACCCUCAAAUAAAAAGUGGUAUAAGUAUAACAUCCACAUACAAAUGCCAAGAUAAGUUCCAUUAUAAAAUCACAAUUUAAAUUGGUAAAUGCUGUUAACAUAGUCCAAAUGAUUGCAGUGAAAGAAUAUAACUCUCAGACCUACUUUACAUCCCUCAGGGAGUACAAAAACAAAGGACUUUAUGGCACCAAAUAGAUUCUUACGUACUAUUUUUAGAAAGUAGAGCAGCAAAAAAUUCUGACUAAUCAUUUUGGGAUUUAGGACGAUUAUAGUUUGAAUAUCACAAAGGAAGUCGGUCUCCAAAUUACCACCUCCGUUUGAGUCUGGAAAAUAAUUAAUCAUCAGACAUUGCUUCGACACUAUGAAGUGGUUCACCAAGAAAAUGACUUAGGAAGUGCUAGAAAACAGGAGACUUUAUUCAUGUGUAUUAAAAACCUAGCAGGUUUUCUGAAUCCGGAGACAAACCGAUUCGUUAAGUACUAAAAUCUAGAGGAGAUAAAGUGCAGCAAAAGAAUUUGACGAUGUAUCUGUAUCAGAUAUUGACAUGUCUAUGGCACAUGGGUACAGAAAUUAAGAUUAAUUGAUAUACAAUUACAUAGUUGCAUUUAUAUAAAACUCAAAAUUCAAAUUUAACGGGGAAUAGACAGUUAAGAUUAGACAGAAUUAUAUAAUCUUGUUUGAACACAAGAGUAGAUGUUGAUAGCUGAGUAGCAUGGACUCCUGUCUGAUCUAGAAUCAGACAGAUAAGAUUUUAUUAACAUACUAUUUUAAUUAGAUUAGAACUAAAUAGUUAAGAUUUGAGAAUAGAUUACUUCCGCAUCACUUCUCACCCAGUGUAUUCAGGAACAAAGGCUUGAUAAGCGCAAAUCUCAGGAAAAAAGAAAAACUGAUCUGGGUAAGUGUAAAAUGUUAAGGCGCUGUUUCAUCUACAGUAUCAGAUAUAGCAUUCUAACCUGAAGUAUGAAUUAUCAAAAGGAAGAGAAAUACAAAAAUUGUGCAAAAAGAGGAAAGAACGGUACAAAUCCUUUUAAAAGGUUAACAACGUUGUACUUACUUGCAAUGUCACAAGCUUCUUCCUGAUGAGAAAAUAAAGGUAAGAGCUCAGGCCAAAGCAUAUACGGAACAUUAUUAGCUCAGUCCUCUUCUGGUUCUGCUAAAUUAUCAGCAUGCCCAAAUAUCAGAAAAAGCAAAGUUUGCCAUUAAAGAUGAUUACACUAAACCAAGAGAGUAUACCUCAAGAAAAUCCGACGAUUGCAUAAAAUUGGAAGGUUGAGCAUCCAUAUUAAAAAGAGAGUGCAUCAUGGUAAAAAGUUUAUGAACAAAUCCAUAAUGAUCAUCUUCUUCAUAUGGCCAAACCUACAGAAUUGAAAUGGCAUUACCUCAUAAACACUGUUUAGACCAAUUGGUCCGCUAAAAGUGAAUAAAUUACUAUGCAGAUAUAUCAAAAACAAAAUCUAGGAUAUCAAUAAAUUUCAAGCAAGGUUUCUUAUCUUAUAAAACAUACCAGUAGGGGUCUGAAUAAGCAACCCAUCCUCAAUGGAUGGCCUUUCUAGGGACAAAGAAUCUAUGACAGAAAAGUGAAAAUACUGUACCUUGCUGAGUAUAGAGACAACAAGAUUAACACGCUCCAAUGUGAACUCAUCAGCUCCAGAGAUAUCUCCCUUUAAAUUAUGAUGAAAAAUUGCCUGAUUUUCCUUUACAAAUUCCAAAACCUCACGAACAAUUUUAUUGUUCACCUGUAAAAGUUACAUUCUGUAGAUUCUUGACAAGCAUAGAAAGAAACGAAAAACAUAUAGAUAAAGGAAAGAAAAAGAAAGAAAAGCAACUUCUCAAAUUUGGUAAAGCUUUACAAAGAACUAUACUACUAAUUAAAGAACUCCAAAUUUACAAGAAAACUGGUUAGCAGGCUAUUUAUUUAAUAACGAUCUAUGGGAUCUACGCAGUGUUUUGGAAUGGCAUAUAUUCCAAUGCAAACCAUCUUUCAGAAUAAAUUAUUGAUGUGUAUUUUAGAGAGAGAUUUAUUUAAUACUGCGUGAUGUUAGUGUCCCUAGAACAUGUCCAAUCUAGAGUCACCUCACAUUUGUUAGGCAUACCAGAAUCCAAUUGAUAAGGACAUCUUUAACGUAACAGUACAGACCAUGCCACCACAAUGGCCUUCAGUACAAACCAAAGUAUGUCCAAAAAUCGAGAGAAAGACAAAAAGAGCGAUCUUUUUGGUAAAUUUUCAAUUUAGUGAAAGAAAGAAAGGUCAGAGGAGAUAAUUGGCACGAUUAUUACCUCCAGAAAAUCUGAUGAGUCAACUAAUGAUGCCAGGCAUGAGACCAAUCUCAGAAUUGGAGAUACAAGCAACUUCUCCUUGUCAGUCUCCCCAGCUCUAUCUUUGCUUUUGUUAUGACUAACCAACCUUGAACUUCCCUGUAACUUUCCAAUCUAAGUAUCGCAAGUGAGAGAUACAUAAUAAAGCAACUAACUGAUGGUACCUUGCUCUGCAAAGCCAAAACCUUGCAUGAUGCUAGAUGUUCCAAAGCACCCAUGGACAAUAGAAUCUGAGAGCCAUGCUUGCCAUAGUUGUGGCCAAUUCUCAGGAGCAAAGACAAUUGAGCCUCAAUAGUGCAAAAGCGCUGAAGAGAAUCCAAAGAGCCUGAAGCAUCCUGAAAAGUAUCAAUAAAUAAAAUGUUACCAGAACUUCUGCAAAAUGAGUAUGCACACACAGAAUUGACCAUGUUUAAGAUGGGAAGAUAUUUAAUUUAAUCAAGCAGGCAAUGACAACAUUAAGGAACAUAAUCAGCAGAGGUUCAUGAAUCUCAUAGCAUCUCCAUCAGUUUAAAAGUCAUUUUACCCACUGGCUAUGUCUAAAGUCCUUUUGUGUUCUAAUCUAGCAUAGAAACAUCAGUUGAUUGGAUUAUUAAUUUAUUAUGUGUUAAUAUACCACACGAUCAUCAUCAAAAAACUUGAAUGAGUUCCUAAAUCAACAUUUAGUCCACCUUCAAGAAGCCAUAACUCUUUAAGUUGUUUUUGCUCGAACAUUACUAAUGAAGUCAUUAACCCAUCUCAAUAUCCUAAACUAAGCGACACUACUUUUACACAGAUGUUGUACCAAGAUGCUCGACAUUCAAACCUUUAAAGCAAUGGACGAUGGUCCUAGCGGGGGAUCAGUUAAUUCCAAGUUCAAUACAAGCAAUACAGAGAAACCAAAACAGCACUAGAAGCUUUUCUUCCAAAACAGCACUAGAAGCUUUUCUUGAUCUACUAUCAUGGACUAAUUCUAUGUGCACCAUUCUGGACAAUGUUCUCUUCACAUUAAAUAAUAGACUGAAUAAAGUGAGAGUUGUUCAUUUGGAUAUCUAAUGACUGUCUUUUAUUCUUGGACCUAGAAGUUUGUCGUAUAUUUCUCUCCACGAAUCAAAAAAGUUGUCCCUACGAUCUCCUCACUUCAAUUGAACAAUCAUGUAAAAGAUAUAAACAACUGAUUCACACCGACUGUUGUAGUUAAGAUAGUCCACAAAAAAAAAAACUAUAUUAUUCCCCCAUGCCAUCCUUUGGUGCGUCCCUUUCAUGAUUUUCUACCAAUUAGUCUCCGAUAAUCAGUAAUUAAUUAACAGGUUAUCAGAUAUUAUGUUCUACUCGCGAAGAAUAAAAGCCUAAAAUAAAUAAUAUAUAACAAAUUUCAUUCAUCAGGAACUCAGGAAGUAUAUGACAAGUCACAAGUUUGAAAUAUACUGAUUUCUCUAAUGAACAAAGAUGCAAUGUAGUGAUGAGGCAGAAACCUUUAAGCAAGAAGACAUACCUUCAGAGAUAAAUUACUGAUUUCUCUCAUGCAUGAUUUGAGAAUUUCUCUACUUUGCAGCUGGCUUAAGAAAAACUUUUCAUGGUCAAUACUAAUGAAUGCAUCAAGAACAUAAAAUGAAAUAGCCUUCCCAGCUUCGCUGCCUUGAACGGCAUCCUUCGUUAUCUGAAAGAAUGAAGAAUAUCAAUAAGACAGCUAAACAAGUCAUGCAAAUUAUAAAUGCACAUACUGAAGCUAAAUAAACAAGAGAGAAUUCCUCAAGAAUGAUAGAGGAUUUCAGAUAAACCAAAAUGAGCAACGAAGUUCAAGCCAAGAAAACAGACAUAAAACUGGGCUGGGCAGUAAAAAAAAAAAGAAAAAAAAGAGAAAUGAUUAUGACUGUCAACUGAUAGCAAAUAGUACUUGAUUUUAAAAACAAGCAGGCAACAUUGUAUUAACACUGGCAGCAGCACUACAAUGGUGCAAAAAUCUCGUCUCUUCUUAUUCCCUUGUUGCCUAUUAUGUUUCAGACAUGAAUUAGUGCAUAAGAACUCAAAUAUGACGAGCCAGAUGUUUCAGAAACCAAAAAACAAUGCCAAUAUCAGUCCAUUAAAUAUUUUGAGACAUUUUUGAGAGCAAAUUAAACAGUAUACUUAAAGAAAAAUUCCUCCAAAGCAAAGUGAAUUUGUCUUUGAAUCCUCUUUGUUUAGGGAACAUAAAGAGAUGUCGUAGUCCAGUGUGAACUGAGAACCAAAGAGUUAGCAAUGUUGAGGAAAACAGCUCAAUAAAGCGAGGUUGAAAAAAGAAUAUGCAGAUAUAGAAACAGAGAAGGGUUUUUUUAGUGCAAUAGCCCUCUCCUAAAAUUUUAUUCUAAAAAUAGGCCCGUUAAAUUUUUAUUUGUAAAUAUAAUCCUAUAAAAGCAGUGAAUGAUUCACCGCUUUUCAUUCACCGCUUUUAAAAGCGGUGAACCAUUCACCGCUUUCUUUCUUUUUCUCAUUUUUUUCUAUAUUUCUACGAUGGUAAAAACGGUGAAUGGUUCACCGCAUUUAGAGGUCUAUUUUUAUAAUUAUUUUUUUUAAAAAAAUUAUUUUUAUAAUUAUAAAAAUCGAUAGGAUUAUUUAUUAAAAAAAAAUCAACAGAGAAACUAGCAAGUAUUGAACUUGCUAUUCCCUGAAAAAUUAGUAAAAUUUUUACACGAUCAUAAGAAAGAUGAGUAAGUAAUAAUUCAGCAAGGCACACAUUUAACUGAAUUUUACUUAUUGAAGCUUAAAAGGCCAAAACCAGGCCUUUGGGAUAAAUAAAAUGAGUUAAUGCCAUCAUCUAUACCUUUUCUGGAAAACAAUAUAAAACGCAAGAAAUGCCAAUGUCCAUCUACAUAAGUAUAAACCAAUUGAUGAAGCACCUACCAGAUCAAUGAUAGCUUGAGCCUCUUUUCUUAUUAUGGUGAAAUUGGCUCGGGCUAGCUCGUCUUGCUCCUUGUCAAUCUUUGAUAACAUGAGCUAUACAGUAAUCAGCAAAUAACUAUGCCAAAAGAAUUCAGAAAUAAAAGGUGAAAUAAGAAUUAACCUUUUGAAGAUUCAGCUCAUCUUCUCCAUCUUCUUCUUCAGAAAGCAAGAAGCGCAAAACUGACGGUGGUACAUCUGGGUCAAGAAAACUCCGACAGUAUUGAAAGUAACUCAGAAGUAAAGCAUAUUGUCUGUUAGCAAAGAGACAUGAUUAGGUUAGUACAGUGCUGGAAGGUCUAUUCUUUGUAUUUAUAUGUAUCUGAGAAUAAAAAAUACUGCAAUAGGCAUGGUACCGUCUUCUCAAAGAUUCUGAUGAUUCACUUCUAAGAAUAGACAUCAUAAGCUUAAACAAUAUAGAUUGACAAGCACCAUUAGACAACUGCUUAACCGAGAUAAUGUCAAGACAUGUUACACUAUCAGAAUCAAAGCCAGCAGGACAUAAGAAUCUUUCAUCCCGAAGUUUAGCCAUACAAGUGAGUGCUACCUACAAAUGUCAUGACAGAAAAAGCAGUGAGUUUUAAAAAGAUAUGGAACCAAUUGGAGGUCACAAAAUUGAGAAUGAAAAACAGAAGAAAAAAAUUAUAUGGCACUCACAUUGGUUAAGAUUACUGCCAUUUUUACCGAGCAAUCUGGAGAUACUGUUGCACUCAACGAAGCAUCAAGCAACCUGCCGCCAAUAUACUUAGAUGAUUAACAAUAUGUUCAAAGAACAUAGUUUAUGUUAAAACUAUAUCAACUCACUCAAACAAUAAUUGAGAACGAUCUUCAAGGAGAGACAUUCUUCUAGAUACAGCAACCUGAAAAAUGACCAAAAAAUUCACUUCAAGAUAAUAACAGAAAGCAUAUAAUAGUCUUAUUCAUCAAAUUAGGAACAAGUUAUGACACCAACCUCAACAAUCUGAGACCAUCCAGUUAACAUGUGCAGCUGUGCUGCCUGUUCUUCAAGAUUUUUGUUGUAUCUCCAACACCAUUUCAACAUAUGAUGGAAUGACUCUCUUAGCUCAGCCUUCUCGACCUCAUUCAGACGAGAGCUCAAUUCUCGAGACAUCUGGCCAAAGAAAAGGAAAAUGAAUCCUGGCAAUUGAUGACUGAGAAAAGAUCAAACAUGAAAAUAGAUAGAUAUAUUGAUCGUGUAUACACUACUUUUAACUUCUUGGUUUUGUAACUUAAAUAUGCGCACGCAUGCAAACACAGGCGCGCUGAGGUAGAUAGAAAAAUUAAUAGAAAUUUAGAUGGAGAGAGAGAGUGAGAGAGAGAGAUUUAAUAUCUGGCAAAAACACUUUCUGCAGAAGCUACAGACAGAAACCUGCAGAAGUUUUUCAUGAAGUGCAUCAAGGUCAAUCAGUCGAUCACCCCGCUCUGAAUAAUAAUAUAUGCCACCGGAUUCCGAUGUUGCAGGAUUUCUCAGUAUAUCUUCAACCUGGAGGGGAAAAGAAAAUUCAAUUAUAAACAGAAAAAUAAACAAAAAUCAUCAAUGCAACUAGGCUCACCUUCGCAUCAUAUUUUAAAUUAGAAAGAAGCUGUGGAUAUUUCAUAGAAGUGUCAGGAGACCUAAACUGGAUAACUUCAAGCAAUUCCAACACCUGAAAUAUAGUAGCCAUCCUUAAAAUUUCUGAAGAAGUAAACCAGACACAAGUUAACCCGGAGCACUGAGUGGUCAGUAACUAUAAAACAAACAACAUCUUCAAGUUAUGAAGAGGAAAACCUUUUAUUGGAGUGAAUACAAGAGAAGGGAAGCUAAGAAAAGAACAGCAACACAGAUGAAGCCAAUCAAAUGGGCUAACGUAUCUCAGAACUAGCCGAAAUCAACCUAAAUAUGCCGAAAACAAUACCUUCCACGCCGAAACAAGUCAAACAGAACUUACUAAUAUGUGUUGGCACCUAUUUCGAUUUCCUCACAAAUGAAACAGAUCAAUCAAGGGUUUUAGGCUUUGAAUGUUUUGGCUGUAAAUAAUGAAAUAAAGCAAAUAAGUGCCCCAAUAAAAAAAAGGAGGGUUUGCAGGAAUACCUUUUUUCUAUUGAUUGGCCUAUUUCGAACAAGGUUAGGAUCUGCCUCAAAAGUUUGCAAAUUGUUUGGACUCCAUCUCUCAGCAGCGCAUUGAAGAAAAGUAUGAGAAAGAAUAGCUAGGCAUGUUUCCCAAUGUGUAGAUGAAGCCAUAUCAGCAAGAUGUAGCUCCAAUGCUAAUAGCUUUAACAGCCAUGCCCUCUGGAUUUGGAAACACAACAACAACAACAACAACAACAAAACUUUCAAUCACUGAUGAAACACGCACGCGCACGCACAAAAAAAAAAAACAGCUACAACCUACAAGCACUUGAUGCUCCCAAGAGUGUAAGCGUAAUAGUAGCCAUAGUGGCAGAUAGUCAAAUUAUUAGUCAGUUGACAAUGGCAAAACCAGACAUGUUUAAUCCAAUAUCUUUUUAUAUUGAAUUAUGCGAUAGAGACCUUAUAAACAUGACAUUCAUCAGCAGGGAGAAUAAGUAAAGAUCAUUAUGUAGUACUUGUUUAUAAAUCAUAACUGAUCAUGAAAUUAAAAUAGAAACUUUUAAUCCUAUAUUUCACAUUCGAGAUCUUCCCAGGUUACAGAGAUUAGUAUUUGUAGACACUCUACGGGUUAGUAGAUGAUCAGUAACUAAUCCUACAUCUAGAAAACUAUGACUGAAGAAAUAGUUGUUACAAUAUAUACGUAGUCAGAAAAUACAACUUAGAUGUAUAUAAGGAACAUUAUAGGCAGAAAAGUUUAAUUUUAAUGUAUAUAGAGAACAAUGUUCUAUAGUUUCGAAAGAUUUCAUACAAAAAAGGAAGACAUUCCAACAUACAAUUAUAUUUCUAUAUAGUUUUGCACCUGAUGGAGUGUACUGAUGCGAAGAGCCUGAUUGUUGUUUCUUUUGGGGAGUGGAGCAACAGCAAAAGUUUCAAUGUGCUGUAAUUGAGCAUAAAAAAAUUAUAAACAUAGUGGAACAUAAAUGUAGCUGAAAACUAAUACUCUUUGCUCUAUAAUUAUCAAAUAAGGACCUUUGAAAAGCACUGGUACUUUUUUGUACUCAAAAGAUCCAUUAUAGGGCCAGAAGUUAAUGGAUCUACACAUAUUUCAUAGAGAAGCUGCAUUUGGCAAAACAGUGUUAGUCCACUCCAUUUAUAAGCAUGGAUAAUCGUUAACUGAAAGCAUUACUUGUGGGAGCAUAGAGUAAAAGCCAAACCUGGAAACCAAACUCAUGCAGUAAAGCAUUAAUAUUUGGUUUGGAUAAUUUCUCGAGAUUAUCAAGUAUAACCUUCAAACAACUGCAUAUUGUGUUGAGAAUCAGCUGCAUAUUCACAAUUAUAGAAACAAAUACAAUCGCAUAUAAAUAGUUGACCUGUAAUGGAACUUUGGCUGUAAUGUUGUCCGAUCCACAGAACUAUCAACAUCAAAUCUCAGAAGCAGAUGAGUGAUGUUUGGUGCAGGACGGCUGAUAUUAUCAAUAAGAAGCUGUUAUAGAGAGGGAAAAGAGACACAAAGAAAUUAAAAUACAGUGUGUAGCUUUACAUAUAGGAAAUAAUGAGCUAGAAAAACAUAAAGAGUUCAAAACAACCUGCAAAAUAAGAACACCGACAUCAUCUUUUGUGUUCUCUAUGAUCUGACACUCAUCAAAACGUAACUCCAAACAAGUUGCAUAAUCCUCAACAAGAGAUUUUGCAGCAUCUGCUUUCAACAAUAACUGUACAAGGCCAACUAUUCUCGAACUGUCGAGAGGAGAUUCAUAAAAAAUCCAAAAUAUAACAUCAAAAAUAGUAUUUUCAUUUAAAUUAACAAAAUUCAGUAGACUGCCAACCAGCACAUAGCCAAAAAAGAUGCAACUCUAACAACAUCAAUUUGCAAUAAAAAAGUGAUAUAUACCUUAAGACGCUCAUGAUCUUUAUCGAGCACUGUUGAAUCUGAGGUAGAAAAUCGUAUCGUACAUACUCCAGCAACGCAACUAUGUGUCUAUGAUCUUGAGAUAAUAUGGCAUCCAAGGGCUAUAAUAAAUUAAAACAUAAGAGUAAAUGUAUUGUGUGUGUGUGUGUGUGUGUGUGUGUGUGUGUGUGUGUGUGUGUGUGAGAGAGAGAGAGAGAGAGAGAGAGAGAGACCUGGUAUAAUGGACGCCAGAAGUCAGAGAGAACCAAAUCCCUCUCCAUAACAAGAACAAUUAUUUCCAGUGAAAGAUGUACAGCUCUCUCUAAUAAUAUGCCAUAUAUUUGAGUUGUCCGCUCAUUGAUAAUGGUAUUCACACCCAACAAAAUGAUACUCAUGAUAUUGCGAAAGACGAUUUUACCGCUCAUGAAAUCCUGUAUUGACAUUCAUUAACUAUAAUGUUAUGAUAGGCAUCAAACAACCUGUCAUGAAAUUUGAUUUCAUUACAUGAUGUAGCAAUUAUUAAUCAAGAAUGGUUUGCCACCAACAGACGUCGCUGACUAAAAUAUUCUAGAGGAGCAGUAUAAAUGUAACAAGUUCUUCAAGACUCUCUGGUGUCUGGGUAUCAAUGCUUCAUCAAAGAGAAAACAGUUAACAUUAUAGCACAGGGAAAAGUCUGAAUAAUAGGCAAAUAUUGAUACCACAUGGCAUGAGACAACACUUCAGCUGGAUAAGGAAAUUGAUUAAGACAAAAGCAGACGCCCUACAAUCCUCAUUGAAGUAUUCGAGCAUUUACAGCACAAAGCGCACAUACAACCCCAAUUAAAGCAAAUAAAGUGGUGGAAACUUUCAGCACCAACAAGCAGAUGAGCAACAAGAAAUAUUUCAGGUAAGACAUUGCUUCUAGAACUUAUAGUUAGUUGGUGAUCAGUGUUUUAUCAGCUAUACAUAUAUUUCAUCAAAAUAAACUCGGAGUCAAAUAAAGUGCCAGUAGCUUUCUAGUUUCUACACUUUAAAGGCACUCCAAUGAUAUAAUCUAAAUGUACAACGAUAAAAAGAUAAGUUGCUUAACAAGUUAACAGAUUAGCAACUUAUAUCAACACAAACAUAAAUUUUAUUAACAGCAUAAAUAGUGGAAAUCUAUAUGCAGGAACUUAUAUAAGCAGAAAUUAUAAAAAAUAAAAUGUAGAUAACCAGGCUGAGAAUUAUUGGCAUACUUUUAACAGCUCUAGCACAGGGAUCUGUGUCUCAACAGAGGAAGCAUGAGGCAUUGACGGCUUCAUGUCAAUAGCACUUGCAAUAUCCUCAUCUUUGAUGUCGUACAUGCUCAAAACCCUGUUGAUAUCACCUCUAAAACUUAAUAUCUCAAAGUUUCCUCAAUUUCUUGAGCAGAGAAAUCUAAAGUGUAUAAAAAAUCAAUUCUUAAACAUGGUGAAAUUCAAUUAAUUCUUAAAUCAAUAGCAAAUGUGAUCUCCAACAAAGCUCAAAACUAGCUAGCUUCCUUAUUUUGCAGCGCAAAAUCUGCCAAGAGAAAUGCAAUAGAAAGGAAAAGAUUUGGCAUAUACUGUAUUAUACUUACAACCGAAAGUGCUCGAGGCAAGCAAGAACCAGCUGCCAUUUUUCACAAGGAUCAGCAUACGCCCUUUGAGGAAAGGGCCCAAAGACAUAAUCAUAAACAAACCUAAAGAUGCCUACAAAUCUGAUGAACUAUAGAUUGUUAGUUUUCUAUAAAAAUAGAACAAAAGAAGUGUGAAACCAUUAACAAGUUGCAGGUAGCUACCUUCUUCCUCUAUCACUUACAUCUCGCUCCUCCGCAAUAAGAGCAUUUAUCAAGUUAAGAAAGGAUAUUGUAGACGGAUACCUUUCCCUCCUGGCUUCAAAUUCAUUCAGCUCAUAUCGCAUGUCAUAAAUCUGCAAGAUCAUAUCAUAGAAAUAUUAAGGCAUCACAAGAUAACAAGCAAGGUCGUUACACAGCAAAAAUCUCAAUUUUUAUUUCAAUUAAGACACCGAUUUAUGCUGCACAUAGCAAAAAAUCAAAUCUCAAAGUCAAUUCUCACCAAAAAAAGAAAUAAUCUAAACUCCUCACCAAUUACGACUUCACAGAUAUCCAGAAUAAUUUGUAUUUUAACUGAACAGGCCAUAAUCAAUUAAUAGUUACAGUAAUACAAGCAGUGCUUUACCUCGAACUCACUUCUAUACUAGUUAACAACAACACAAUUUAAAUUUUUUUAAAAAGGAAAGGUACAACACAAAACAUAAAAUUUGGUACCUGUGUGGUUAUAUGUUGUCCACUGCUAACUGAAGGAGCAACUACUACGGGAAGAUCAUAUUGCUCAAGGAAACUCCAGAUAGUAUCUCUCUGGACAGGUGAAACUUUGACAAAUGCUGUAAUAGCAUUUCGCAAAGCUCCCUGCAGAUAAAGUGUAUCAUACAUUCACCCAAAUAUAUACCACUUCAAUAAGUUGCAGCACAAGUAAUGCAAGGUUCAUACCUUUAGAUAUGGGGGCACACUCUCAUAACCAAGAAGCUUAAAUAAUGGUUCAAUAUCUGAGAACCAUUUUUUUCUUUCAGUAGGAUUUCCAUUUUCAACUACCUAAAACAUAAUAUCAAUGGCUCAGAUCAAAUAUUUAAUUAGGAAACACAAACUGCUUAAUAAUAAGACAAAACAACAUAAAUCAGCGACAAACGAGUAGGACAAGAUAAGUUAGCUUAUGAGUAUUAAAGCAAGUUAUAGAUACAAAAUUGCAAAAUGCGGAUAAACCACAAAUGCAUGCACAAAAGUAAAGCAUGACAACAGGAGUUUGAAUGAUAACAUAUUUAAGUAAAAUAAAAGUAUUCUGAAGAAAUCCUUAAGUUCAGAUUUAUUAUGGUAAGAGAUAAUUAUAGACCACACAGCAACAAAUAAUUAACCAAACUCAUCUCAACUCAGCCUUAAUCACACUUUCGUUGAAUUUGCUACAUGAAUGAUACAACCAAAUACUGAUUAAGGGGCUUAAUUCAAGCCUUUUUGAGCUAGACUCUUCUAUAGCAAAGUUAAAGAUUAGGUCCUUAAGAAAUUAUUUAUACAUUUUGUAAUUUCAUCCGCUAUUUAGAGACUAAAUAUUAUUAAUAGAAGAGAUUACUGCAAGCAGCAACUAGAUCUAGAAGCAUAAUUUAAUUUAAGAAGCCUGCUUGUUGUUUGAAAUCUAACUUUAGAUUAAAUAUGUGAAUAGUAUCUGACUAGAGGAUUCUAUCUCCGGCUAACGAUAUUGUAUUUCAAGAUGAUGAGAUUCUAUUCAAAUUUUAUUUAACUAUGUCCAGAUCUAAAGAUAAUUUAGCCAGAUCUGAUCCAAUUAUCUAUGGUUCUACGAUGGGAUAUCAUUUUUGAAGGGUCAAACGAUGUGAAAAGGAUAGUCACAAUGCAGACUAUCUUGAAUGUAAACAACUUUUUUACCAACAUUUAUCUUGUGGAGUUGCCACAAGUUCUAUUCCCUGAUACAUGUCCUGACUUAUUUGAUAGGAAUGCCUUCUUCUCUAAGAACCUAUCACAUGACUUCAUUUGACUUCCAUUAUAUGUUAUUUUCACAUAAAUAAAUACCACAUGGUUGUCUUCUUUUACUUAUUUGUUCAUAUCAACUGUUUAUGUAAAUAUACAGGUAUGAAAGGUUUUUUUUUAUUCCUGGCUUAACAGGCUAGCUGUGAAUAGGGUCAACCAAUAAGCCCUAGUUCACAAGGAGACCUUUCCAAAAUAAAGUCGAAAGGUGAAUUGUCUAUUAGACAAUAACCAGCAAACAAGAGGAGAGAAAGGCAAAAGAAAGUUGAAAAGUGGGCUGUCUUACAGACAUCAACCAGCAAACAAUAGGACAUAAAGGUAAACGCUAAACAUCAACGAUCUGAAUUUGAAGAAUGUAUCCAGUUAGCAUAGGAGCAGUUUAGUAAUCCAAACCUUCUUAAGAACAUCCAAAUAAGCAACAAGUGCUUUUGCAUCACCCUCCUGAAAAUCAGGCAACAUGGUCCCAGAAGAUUGGAGAGCCUGUUUAAACUUCUCCUCGUAAAUAGAUAAGCAGUCAAACAAGGUGCUCCACCCAACUGACCGAAACACUUUACCAUUGAGCAACUCAUAAACUCUUGAAGCACCUUCUUCAUUAGAAGCCUGAAAAGUUCAAGCUAAUUGAAAGUUAAAAUGCAACGUGAUGUUUUAGGUAGCACAUGCCAAGUAAUAGAAAACAUAUUGUAUACCAGAGUGCUAAGAAGUCUCAAGAAAGCUACAAGAGUUUCAAUAUUAGUAUGAUCUUCCCCAGCAGUGGUGACAAAUGUCCAUAACUCUUCAUUGCCAUGCAGCAACUCAGGCUCCUUCUGAAAAAACAAGGAAAUGCAGUAGGAUUUUAGCAUGCAUUAUUCAGAAAACAGAGAAUAAGUAGUAAUGCACAUACAAAUUCUUGACCAAAUAUCAUUUCGUAUUCACAAUAUGGCAAAGGAUUUUUUUUUCAAUAUAAUAAAGAAAAGUUUACCUAAUUUUUUUUUUCUAAAGGCCUCAUCUUACCAGACUUUGCCCCACAGACGAACGAAAAACGUUGUAGGAUUUUUCUUUCUGUCAUCUCUGUUUUGAACACCUCCAACUUUUUGUACUUUCAGCUUUGGUAACCUCUAGGGCUCUAGGUCUUCUUUAUCUUUUCAAUGAAAUGAGCAAAUGGAACCCAUGCGGCAAUAGGCACCAGUGAUUCAAUAGAAGAUAAAUUCGUAAAUGUAUUGAAUAGAGUGGGAGAUAAAUUCAUAAAUGAGGAUGGCCACUCAUAGCGCCAAUGGGCGCCUUAAUCAUCUUCUGUAGCCAUCACGUGCUUUUUGUAACAUUAAAUGUCAUGGGGUUUGCUCUAGCCGAUUCCUUAAAUGUCAUGGGCUUUGGUCAAGCCGAUUCCUAAUGAAUGAGGUUUUCAACAAUAACUGCUACAAAAUUUGGACUUGUAGCUAUAGUUAACCACAAAAAUAUUUUGUCAGAUGUCUAUUGAAGCAUUUCCAAUUUUUAUUUCUAACAUCAUUACUUCAUUAUUUUCAAAAUGGCCUUGAAUAUUAAUUAAACAAAUUAAUAGAGAAAGACAGUGGAAUCAUAUGCUAAUCAAGUAAGAACAUAUCCGGAUGACAUUUAGUUUUACCCUUAUAUUAGACAGUUUUCUCUGUAUUAGUGAAGCAACAUUUCAACACUGAAAAAAUCAUAAUAACUGAAUUACACUAACAAUGAGAGGAGGAUACAUAAAACACAUUCUAGAAGAUCAUGAAGUCAAAUAAAUGUUGAAAUAUAACAAAUCAACAGAGAAAGACAAGAUUUACCUGAUAGAUUUCUCUAACCAAUUCCAAUAAAGAUACAAAAGGCUGAGUACUUCCAGGAGAACCUUCUUUUAGAUUAUUAAUAUCUCUAAAAUCAUCCAACCUUGGAGAGAUGUAAGGACUAAGGGCACUCAUGGCUUUCUCCUUCAUUUCCUUCACCUAUUAGAUGAUGACUAAUCAAGAAUGUGCAAAUGUAGGAAAAAUUGGCCAUACUUCCGAAAUACAAAUGUAUGACUGUAUAUGUGGUCCAAGUAGGAAAAACUGACCAUACUUCUGAAACAUAAAUGGCUGAAUGUAUAUAUGCAUGAUCUACUCAUAAAAGGCUAAAUCUUGAACUGAAAGUAAUACUUUUUAUAUUGAUAUAAAAAGCAAAUAUGCAUGUACAUAAACAGGCAUCUUCACUUCAAUCUUUGAAAACUUUUGAUUACUGAAAGCUAUUAUCAGCAAUACACAGAUGAGAGUUCAAUUAAUUGGAAUAACCAAGCUCAACCUCUCGGACCAGUCUGAGGAAUCGAAGGAAAAAAAAAACUCAGAAGAAACAUUCUGACCUUCUCCCUAGUAAGUGGGUGUGAAACAAAGCACAUCAUGAGCUUGUGUAAGUACCCAUUAUACAUAUAAACCAUGUCCUCAUCAUCAUUCUGCACCAAAUAGAGCUCAAAUCAAAUAAAAGCGAGGCAACAGUUGAAAUAUCGCUAAAUAGUUAACAAUUCCAUCCCUAUCAUCAAAUUGCUCCAAAAUUACCUACCCUAUUUAAUCAUCAUCCAAAUGUAUUUUGAGGAUUACUAUAAAGAAAAAGCUCAGAAGAAACGAAAAACAAAUGGCAAACAUAGCAAUAAAAUAUAGCGUAUGUACAAUGUUAGCAGAUCCACUUCAUGUGAAUAACAGUAAACAUAAAAUAAAGCAUUCUUGCUAUUUUAUUUCCUUUGUGGUGUGCUCUUGCUGAAAAGGAAAGGAAUAUCAAUCCGACAAAAUUACUGAAUUUCAUAAUGUGCAUCUACGAUAACCAAAAUUCAAUGAAGCCAUGAACAUUUCAAAAGAGAGAAGUAAAACAUCAUAUGCAUUCACAGUUAUGCUCUUAAGUAGUAGUUAAAGCAAAAAGAUUAUGAAAAAACUUCAGUAACAUGAAACCAUAUUAUUAAAGAUAUAACCACAGAUAUAGCUAAUCAGGAGUCAGGACCCAAUUGUUUUGAUUGAUCAGAACAUAUCACUUCAAUCACAAUAUGCAGCGCAUCGAACUAGACCUGAUAAGCAGCAGUUUUGAUAACAUUUCCCAGUAAAAACUGAAAGACAUUGUUUGAGCAAAUAACUUCGAGACAUGAGCAAAUAUUUGCCAAGUCCCUGGAAGAAGCACUCGAUGGAGCAUCUGUCAUAGUACUUUGAUCUUGAGUUAACAUCAAAUGUACAGCCCAUGCAAGUCGCACUACAUGAACAAACCCCUCAAUAUUUGUAUUGUUACCAGCACUCAUCACCUGAAAUUAAUAGAACGCAUUAAAACUCACCAACAAAUUAAUGUUCAAAAACACAUAGAGAGUUAAAGUAAAAUAUAUAAGCUUACUAAUCCAUGAAAUUCAUGUCUGAAGGAGGCAUCAGAUGACAACGUGGAUGCCGUAUCAGGGGAUGUUCUUAGAGCAUCAGAGAUGAAAGCUAUUACAAGGGAAAAGAGAACACCGAAUGUGAUCUGCAAUGAGUGGAAACAAUACAGUAAGAUCCCGAGCUAAGGACACUACUAAGCAAUGGAUCCUAUUAAUCCCUACCAAAAUAUCCAAUAUUACAACACCUUAAAAUUAACAACUAGAAUAUAAAGAUAUAGAUUGAAACCUGCAAUUGUACUGUAGUAUUUUCAUCAACAUCAGCUGCACAAUCCUUCAAAGUUGAUAGCACAUCUUUUAAAUCUUUAGGACCUGAAAGUGAAAAUAACCUUAAUAAGGUACCAUUCCUAGGAAGAUGAUGACCAACAAAUAUGAUUCACGAAUGUAAUUGAUGACAUACGAACUUUCCCUAUGUCCAAUACAAUUAUUUUCACAUGUUUAAGUCAUUGGGGGUAUUACAAUUAUUUUCACAUGUUAUGUCACGGAUGACAAAGAGUUACUUGCAAGUACAGUUCUUAACGAUGCAAAAAAAAAGAGAAGGAGAAAAAGAGCAAUGUUGUAGAGUACAUAUUAUGAAUAAUGUCAAAGAAAGUUUAGCUUACUCAUCCUUAUAAUAAGGACUGAUAAUGCAAGGCAGUGACUCAAACUCAGUCUCUCCCGCAGCACUACAGCACGUCGCUCCACAAGAGCACCUCUGAAGUCCAGGACAUACCGUUCAGCAUUCUGAUGGCCGACACCAGCAGGUUCUUCACGAUUUAGUUCCUAAAAUGAAAGAGAGCAAAGAUACAAUAUAAAUUGCCAACUCAAUACGGCAAUAAAUAAGUUUAAAUACAGCAGCAUUUCCAAAUAUAUCAUCGCAAUCUUUCUGUGAAACAACCACAAAGAUAUGACUAACUAAAAUCAUGCUGCCAACCAUAUAAUGAGAACUCCUACUGCAGAAACACUAGAAGAUGGAGAAAAGCAAAUUAAGACAUAAAAUUAAUGCUUUGUGAAGUCCAAACUUUUAUAAGCAUAAUUAGCCGCUGCCUGAGACCAGAGCUAAAUAGAUCCUCCAUAUGUUUUUGAAUAUCAGCCACAAGGCCACCAUCCAGCCCCUGAUCAAGUACAACAGACUGCAAGGGACAAGCACAAUUGGAAUUUCACUUUCCAGUGAUGCAUAAAAACGAAAAGGAGCAGUAGAUAGUACAAAUAGAGAGCACAAAGCCCAAAUAUAACCAAGUUGCAAAGUAGCUGCAUGUUACCCGUAAAAGAAUGUACAAAGAGGUUAUAAGAUCUCUCCUCUCCAUAUACCAAAGGCCCGCAGCAAGACGAAAUAUCUCCAGUGGCUCUCGUCCAUACAGAAUCCACUACAAGGCCACGAUGGUUAAUGCAUUGAGGGUUACUAUUAAACUGCUCCAAGGAUUAAAGCCAGCCAAUUGAUAGCGAAAAUGUGCAAGUAAGAAAGUGUACCUCUCGAUUAGCAUCAACGAGCAAACGAACACACUCAAUUUCAUUGAGAUUGAGGUCAUCACUCAGUUUCAAUGCCUAAAAAAUCGCAAUGUACCGUGCAUGUAAGAAAUAUAAAGAAAUGCUGAGGUGGUUUUAAACCAUUUAUUAGUCCUGUCGAGGAUAAACAAACAGAUAGAAAAGAUGAACCAAAGCUUAAAUCGGCAUUAGAAAGGCUGAUACAACAGUCCACCUAACAAGGAUAACAAGACUUAAUGAAGCGAACAGAGGCAGAGGCUGGGGAGUGCAGUAAUCAUCUAAUCUGCCCACUUGUAUCACAUUGUCUGUCUUCAGCUGUGGACCUUCAGCUGUGAGAUUCAUGGUGAAGCGAGGUUUAAGUUGUAUGAAUCAUUUGUUUGCGUAAUGGUGCAGAUCUGUUUGAGUUGUACUGCACACGACUUGCAGUAAACUCAACAAUCUACAAUCAAUUAUCUCCUGAGUUUUUUUUAGGGAUCUUCAACUUAGAAAACUUUUCGAGUGCUAAAGGAUAAAACAAAAAAUAGUUAACUAUUGGACAUUUCAGAUUACAAAGGCGAAAUGCAUACUCCCAUUAUGAAUAAAUUAACGUGAAAAUAAGGUUUUAAGAAAACAUCAGCGGGUAUCCCGGUAUGAUGUAGCAGUUUGGAAGAUAGGUAAGGCAUAGGUUGCUAAGAUUAAUGACAUGCGGACUCAUUCAGGCUGAUUUGGAUGAGGCUACACAUGGACUUGUCGGAAUAAUGGCACAGCAGUCUAUUGUGCCUGCGCAUGGACUUCUUGGUAUAAUGACACAGCAGUCUAUUUUGAGCAAUUCGGAUUAACCAUACUGGCUUAGAGAAAUGGUGCUUGUUUUGGCUUGGACAUCUGAUUCGUGCGGCGAUCGACUAACAGAUAUUAGUAGAAAUAUUUCAUUUUGAGAAAGGAAUAGCUCAGAGGAGCCUGCGGAAAUAACUAACUGAUGCCGCUGAACUGAAAGGACAGGCAAAGAAGACAAAUCGGAAGAUAUAUAAAAAAAAAUAAAAAAAAAGAGAGUGCUCGCCUCGUCAAGACAUCCCAUCCGAGUGCGUUCGUAUGGAAGAAAUGGGACCAAUAAUCGAGACGCAGCAGAUUGAAGAAACAAAUCAGGCAAGAGCGAUGGAAGCUUACAAUCUUCACAUCCGUGUCGUCGAGCGAGAUUGGUGGCGAAUCGGGAAGCCGAACCUCUUUGGACUGCACUUGAGCCCGAUCAGAUGCCUUGGGGCCCUGCGCAUGAAACUUGGCAGAAUGAGACUAGGACGACUCCGCCGGACAAGUAAGAGUACCCUGAUACAAAGACGAGGCAGAAGAGACCGGAUAGGAAAGGAGGGAUUGGAGAGCGGGGAGGGAACUGCGGAUGGCGUGCAUGAGCUCGAUCCGCUGGGUCGGGGUGGGAGGAGCGGGCCCGAGGAGCGCGUCCUCGAUCGUCGAGAGGAGCUCCCGCGGGGACACCAUGGCUCCUGCCGCUCGAGCUCUUUCGCCCAACCCUCUUCGAGCUCUCUCCCAGUGCUCUACUUUGCUUUCCCCCGAGGGCUCCGAAACCCUAGUCGGAGGGAGGAGGAGGGGUGGGGGAGUAGGGAGAAAUGGAGGAAACAGGGGAUGGGCGGUGGUUUGGAGUUUUUGUUAAAGUUAAACCCUAGUGAGGCGCGGGAAGGAGGAGGAGGAGGAGGAGGAGGAGCAUGCUGAGCUCCGCCGCUGCUACUUAGGACGAUGGGAGAGUGCGGCGCGUUGCGUGGCGGACGCGAUAUCGGUGCCAGGGCAUUUGGAAUUCCCGCGAUUUUGCUUUCCCCAAUUUCACUGCCGUUUGUACCUCUGUUGGUUUCCAACAUAAUUUUAGGCUUAAAUUACUAUUAGUUAUUUUAUUAUUUAAUUUAUUUUUUAGAAGUGUAGCUCGUGCACGCUUUUUUGUAUCUGAUAUCUUAAUAACUUCUAAUAAACUUUAAUUUUUUCGACUAAUUUUGGAUUUGUUUUUUCUUAAAUUUUGGAAUAAUGUUUGAAUCAAGCAUUUUACGGUCAAAUUUAACACGAAUAAUUUUAAGAUUUUACAAAAAAAAAAAAAAGAGGAAAAAACUAACAAUGAAUAUUCUUUUAACUCUUUUAAUAGAACAUUUUGUUACUUUUAAAAAUUAAGAUGUCUAAUUUAAUUUGUUGAUUUAACGUAACAGGAACAAAUAUUGGGGAGGCCCAGCACAUCCCAUGGCCGGGACCGAAUGGGCCGGGAGGGCCCAAAUGAUGUUUACCACAGUACCUCACUGCACCCGUGGGCCAGAAUCUUUGUCCACAUCGAGUCGUUGCUCUGUCCCUGUGGUUUCGUGGGCCUCUAUAUAUAUAUAGUUACCAAAUUAUGAAAAUGAGGAAAAUUGCAGAUAAUAAUGUAACUUGCCGUGCGUGGGAAAGGGAAUUUCGGAAACUUGGUUCAUACUUGACACUAGUAUCUGAAAAUUUAUAUAAUUAAGAAAAAUAAUGCAUGUAUAUCAGAAUAGCGGUGUAGAUCUUACACUCCUCUUGUUUUAAGGUUGAGAAAAUUUUUAAAAUUUUCAGUAUUUUAAAAAAAUGACAAUAUAAGAGCCCAAUAAGAGUCUUUGAAGGAGUAGGUAUAUUUUUUGGUGUACAGGUAGUAAUGCUUUAUGUUUCGGUAGCUGAAAUUGAAAUUGUCAUAAUUUUUUAUUGGUGUACGUCUACCAAAGUAUAUGCACUGUAUUUGGCUACGAUUUAAAUCUUUUUAAUUUCUGAAGAAGAGUGUUUUUAGUUUCUGAAUGCGAAGGCAUUCAAUCCACGACAGACUAUGGCAGAUACUGGUGCCCUAUCUCCUUCACCUGGGAAUGCAAACAAAGAUGGCAUCUCUCCGAGGACACAGCUCCCACACUUUCACAAGAUUCUUUGAGGUAAAAAAUAAUAUAUAAAAAGAUAAAAGAUAAAAGAUUCUCCCAGCGUCAUACAAACUCUAUCCCAUUAAUAAUGUUUAUAUACACAUACAUUUCUGAUUUCCCCAGAUUAAGUGAAAAAAAAAAGGAUAGUGCUGCUGUUUCAUAAAUAUUAUUAUUAUUAUUAUUACCAUUACAUAUUAAUAUAUCACUAUAUUAUUAGUAUUAUGUUAUAAUCUUAGUUAAUUAUUUAUAAAAUUUAAGCUAUUAUAAAAGUUUAUUAACACGUCCAUAGCGUGUAAAAUAACCAUCAUUUACAAGAAACGAAAUCAUUUUCCAAGCCAAAUAAACAGCCUCGGGCAGGACGCAUUAGUCCGACGCUUAAUUAGGAAACCCAACGCCUCACAUAGUCUCAUCCGCCCGCCACCAAAAUAAAUAAAUAAAUAAAUAAAUAAAAUAUUUUUAAAAAAAAAACAGAAGAAGAUAAAGAAAUCCUGGCUCACGUUGCUCUUCUUGUGCAUUAUAUACAUGUAUACGCAUAUGUAUAUGCAAUUAAUUACUGGGCUAUUGCAGCUUAAUUAUAGAUUAAAGCAGAGAGAAAAGAAAGAGAGAAAGUGAGAAUGGAGGUGGAGAACAAGUACUUCACGCUGAAGCAGUACGUGGAUGGGUUCCCGUCGGAGUCCGAUUUCGAGCUCAGAAGCGGUCCGCUGCUGCUGGCGCCGCAGGAAGGCUCGAAGAAAGUAAUCGUGAAGAAUCUCUUCGUGUCCGUCGAUCCCUACCAGAUCAACCGCAUGAAGAAGCGCAGCCCCUCUCACAAAUCUGCAAACUUCGCUCAACGAAUCGACCUAGGAAAGGUGACGAAAACAACAAAAAGGCCAAAAAAAAAAAAAAGAAGAAAAAUCUUACAUGACAUACUAUAUAUAUAUAUAUAUAAAAUAUAUAUAUAAAAAUAUAUAUAAGCCUACGUACGUCUUAAUUACUACGAACGUACGUACUGAUCGAUGCGUGUGAUAUAUCGAUGGGUGGAUUGAAGAGGAUCGACGCGAUGGGUGUGGGGAGGGUUGUGGCAGCCUGCGGGUACGCGGAGGAGGAGUUGCUGGGAUGGGAAGACUACACCGUCGCCGGGCCCGGGAGCAUGCUGACAAAGAUUCCCACCUCCCAGUUCCCGCUCUCUUACCAUGUCUCAGUUUUAGGUCAGCUUUUUUCAUUUCUUCUUCGUUUCUCAAUUUUCAUUCCCCCCUAGCUCCCCUCCUCCUCUUUUGCAACCGCAUGCAGUACUUUAGAUAUUCGGUUAAUUAACUAUUAACUAUUGUGGUUUAAAUUAAAGCUUGCUUUUACGCUAGCUCCUGUACGCACGUGAAAGUUUCGAUUUGGAAAAAGUCCUGUUCGAGCAAAAUAGGGAACUAAACCAUCUGUUUUCAACAAACGUAUUAUAUAUGCAUGCUUCGGAGAUAGAUAUUAUACAUAUAUAUGGAUAACAUGCGUGCGUGUACGCGCGUUGCCGUGCACUCUCAUUUUGAGCAGGGAGUAGCGGGCUUACGGCAUACGCCGGUUUCUAUCAGAUAUGCAAACCGAGAAGGGGGGAGACGGUUUUCGUCUCCGCAGCGUGCGGAUCCGUCGGACAUCUCGUCGGCCAGUUCGCCAAGCUCUCUGGUUGUUAUGUCGUAGGAUGCGCAGGGAGCAAGAAAAAGGUUCAGUUCCUCUCCCCGCAUGAACUUUUAAGUAACUUGCGGCCGGGGUAAUUAAUAUUUUGGCAGCACUGGCGUACGUGCAUGCAGGUGGACCUGCUUAAGGGCGAGCUGGGAUUCGACGACGCUUUCAACUACAAAGAAGAGCGUGAUAUCAACUCUGCACUCAAGAGGUCUGUUCGGCCGUCUCCAUGCAGCCGUGCUCUUUCUUCAGGCAGUGACAAUGUCGCCGCAGCAUAACUUUCUUUGUACUUGCUGGAAACAGGUGCUUUCCGAGCGGGAUAGACAUAUACUUUGACAAUGUGGGCGGCGAGAUGUUAGAAGCAGCCGUCGCCAACAUGAACGCCUUCGGAAGAGUUGCCGUCUGCGGGGCGAUCUCAGAGUACACAAGCUCCGAAAGACGAGCAGCGCCUGACAUGCUGGAUGUGAUCUACAAGAGGAUUACUGUCCAAGGGUUCCUAGCCUAUGAUCACAUUGCUGUGCACGAUGAAUUUAUCUCCGUUACUUCUGAUUACCUCCGGCACGGCAGAAUGCAGAGUAUCGAAGACAUCUCCCAUGGCCUCGAGAGCAUUCCAUCUGCCUUCAUAGCGCUCUUUCGAGGUGACAAUGUGGGAAAGAAGCUGGUUCAACUCUAAACCAAAUCGAUAAUGCACUUGAAGAUAUCAUUAUUUACUAAACCAACAGAUCAGUAUCUGUUUGUAGCCUCCAGUCUGAUUUCCGCACUAUGUUACUUUGCUUCACCUCAGAUAUCCUGAGCAUAAUCAUAAAGAGAUUUCUUUUGAAAUUUGAUACAAAGGGUCUCUCAGGCUAAAUUUACCUGCGCAAGUCUUCACCUACAGCUUUUUAGCUCAAACGACAGUUGAAAUGGACAGCAUUGCCGUAGGUUCAACCACCACGAAUGCCAGAGUCGCAAGCAAGCAACCAACCAACCAACAAUUUCUAUGUCUUGAAAAGGCAAAUAACUGCAUGAAUAACCAGAAACCAAUAGCAUAAAUUAUACAGAAAAGCUAUGCUGCAUGACAACUUUUGACGGGCACUCAACCAUCACACAAGGUGAAACAGAGCAAAGCUAAAGAUCUUGGACACUUCUCAUGGCGUUUGAAGACCAUGUAUUUCAACCACUAGUUUGUGCUUUUCGGCUGGCAGUUAUGCUUAUUUAUUUAUAAUAAUACACAUGCCGACCAAACCAUACUCUAACCUGAAAGUCAGAAUUAAGACGCUUACAAUACUAAGAUCACUUGAUUCUCAAUUCAAAUGAAUCUAAUUGCUAAUACUCUGUUUCAAUAUGAUCGAUAUUACGUGUUCAUAGAUUAAGACGUGUUGUUACAGAAGAAGAACUAUCCAUGCCAACCCGAAAGGCAAAAAGGCCAAGAAUAUGCCGUGUAAAUAACCUAACAGAUAAAUAUCUAAACAUCAAUCUAAUGAAUCAUUAGUAGCAUGUAUACCCUCAUCCUGUCGUGUUGGCAAUCCUUUCGCAGCGUAUAACCACCAAUCUCGAGCAUCUCUUUACCAGCCAGCAGCUAAAAGCUUUAGAUUUUUGUAUACCGACCUCAUAUUUUAUUGUCGAUUUUUUUUUCAGAUGCAAUGUUUGUUAUCAAAACCUUCUUCCGAAAGCAAACCUGUAAUAAGUCGCUUAAGCCUCUCAGCACCUUCCCCUGGUCUAAGCUCCGAUGCAGCUUUGACAGUGUAACGGCCGUCGCUAUUAUUCAUCUUUAACAAAUCAGACCAUCCACCGGGAACAAACCCAUCAGGCUCACGGCCCAAUAACUCCUUAUCAAUUUUGUCAAGAACAGGGUCUUCCCUGCCGAAUUUCCUUGCAAAGGGGGCGUUGCUGCCGACCAUACUCGAGAAAUCACUGAGGGUGAGGAAGUGGGGAUGCUGCUUUGGUGGGUUAUCCCAUGAUAUGAAAUGGAGGUCGUGGUUGACUGUGGUGUUCCGAAACUCAGGAGCAUUGCAGAUGACUGUGUGGAAGUACCCUUCAGGGGAAGAGAGGAAGUUCGCAUAGUACAUGAGGACAGUUCGGGGGAGAUUGUCCCAUCCCCACAAGCAGAACUCAAUGAACUGGUGAGAAAGCAUCAUCCAUGCAGAGCCUGGAAAGUGGAACAUAUGAAACAAUAUAAGUAAUCUGUUUUCAUGUGCGCUGCAAAUGCUACCAAAACUAGCUUCUGAGACAAACUAAGCAUGACCAGUACAUGUUGGUCCACGUGAUGCGUACAAGUAAGCAAUCGUACAUUAUUUAUACUUCAAGAGGAUGAUAAAAGAAACCUUUUCUCGAAUCAAAUUAUGUUGUGCCAACCCUAUCAAUGUUACAAAAUUCUGGCCUCACCUUUGUAAGGAGGGAAAAUAAUAGUGGUUUUCUCUACCUUGGACAUGAAAUAUGCAACGACACCUUGAUCAGUUUUCAACAUUAUAAUCAAUAUAAAAUGGACUAAAAGUACAACCGACCAUCAAACCAUCCAGCAUUCAAUUGUUCCAGAGAAAUCCAUCAACAUAAUCCAUAAGUAAUCAGGCACAAGGACAUAAAUGUACUGCCUUGAUGCAUGCCCAAAGUGUUUUUGAUACUAUUAGUAAUGCCUGCUAGUUUCAAUCCAGUUCAAGAAAUUCUGUGAAAUGCCCUCCCAAGAGCAAAAGUUUAAAAAUGUGAAAGGGCUUAAAGGCCGUUGGGAUUUUAACAGUCAAGUAUGAAUUUUGUAUUGUAUCAAAAACAUCAAAAGGUUUGACGUGUCUAAAGACCUAAAAUUUUGAAUGCUCAGGUAAAAUCUCUUAAAAGUAUAUGUUUCAAUCGUUGUAUUUUAUCUUUCAAAUUGAGCCUUCAAACCACAACAAUUCUCUUCCGUGCAAUCAACUUGCCCACAUUUCUUUCAGUCUAUUAAUUCUAUAAGGUAGGUACCAAUGAAUAACAAGAUCUCAACUGCUAUUCAAAAGCUACCGGAGGUAGCUUUCAAUGAAGAAUUACCUACAACAUUAGGCUAAAAUCAAUGGUCACAAGAACAAACUAAAGGAUGAGAAGAUGACCUAGAAAAUUCAGCAGCCAGUAUACAUGACAAGAGAGGAACUACGAAAUAGUAGGUAGGAGUAGGACAAAACAUUUAAAAAACCUAAUAUGCUACUCUUCAUUUUCUAAUGUUAAAGGAUUUAUAUCUGCAUUAAAAUGAGGCGUGAUUACUUCUCAGACCAUCAGUUCAUUUUGUAUGGUACGAUUUGUUUCAAUUGAUUUCACAAAUAGCAUGAUGUUACCUAGCAUCAUCAAUCCUUAAGAUAUUGCCGCUUGGUAGCUUGAAAUCUCCAGGAAGAUGAACCCUAAGUAACUGACAGCAACAAAACACAAUCUCAGUCUUUUCAAAUUAUCAAUACUUAGCUUUUGACGUAUGCUUUUUUUAAAAGACCAGAGCAUUCAAUCAGCAAAUAACAAAGCUUUCUGUGCAUGCGUAUAAGAAGACAUAUUAUUUCAACUACACCUUCUGCAAUCUAUAGCAGAUAUUUAUAACUUCCUAGGCUCAUGGUAGAACUUAUUAAGAGACAUGGCGCCACAUCGAUCCGGACCUAAUACCAACCACCUCUUACCAAUCAUAUAGUUUUUCUAACAACCGAUAGUUGGCUUAGCAGAUAUCAAUAAGUGCCAGUAGAUUAUCAUAUGCCAACCACUAUUAUUAUAGGCAUAAUGAUGGAUGAUACUUAAAUAAAUAGCACUUUUUGUUGACACCUUCAGAUGGAAGCAAAAGCAUCCAGCUGCAAUGUCAUAAAUUUGAAAUGCUGAAGUCAUUACACAAUAAGAAUCAUCUAUUAUUGUUUUCCACAAAAUUCUUAGCAAAUGAGGCCAAAAACACCAAGAAAUAAUUAUGUACGCUACAAACAACCCACAAUUAUAUGCCGACACGUUAUGUACUCUUUAGUCCUGUGUAGCUCUUGAAGAUGUAUAACGUUCUCAUAUUAAUUACGAAGAAGGCACAACGACAGUUCUCCGUUGAUAAAUAUAUUAGUACUUCCAAAAAAUCUGAAAAUGUUGCCAUUCAUAAUUUUGCAAAUGAAGAUAUAAUCAUAUCAACGGAUAAGAGCUGAUACAUCCUGCAGUUAUUAAAUCACUGCCCAACAUAUUUCUCACGCCCUCUUUUACUAUGAAAAUGUCUUCUAAUAGAAAAUAAUAAAUAAGGAUCCGGAAUUCCGAACUGUUGCCUACAAAUUGUUAAGCAAAGAUAGAUUGCCGUCUUAUCAUUCAACUGAAGCUUCGCAUAUCUGAGAAUUCUCAUAGAGAUUGAGAUACCAUCCCAGUAAAUAUAUAUAAGUCAGCUAGGAGAGCAAACAAUUACCUGUGAAGAGCUUAAAUGCAGUGGGCACACUCCUUUUCUCGGUAAUCCAGAAGACAUCCGACUUCUGCAAGCUAUACAGACCGGGGUCUAUGAUCACAGGCUUUGCCCUCUGAUAUCUACAAAGAAAUUACACAACUUUGUGAGGUCCUUAUGUCAAAAAGAAGUACUCGUGUUGGAAGGAGAGUAAAAAUUUAAUUUGCUGCAGGAAAAAAAAAAAAAAAACAGAGAAGAAAAAUUAACAUACUCCUUCCAUCCAAUGUCACUUGUAUGCUCAAUAAAAUUCAGGUGUCUCGGCAAGCUCGAGAGCACGUAUAGCAGAUCUGGCAGGAAAUUAAAGGGUAACGUGAGCAUCUUGUACAUACACGCAAACUUAGUUAAUUGAUGAAAGAUAGAACUCAUGCGACAGCAUCAGUUUCUAAGAACCAGGAAAGAGAGAGAGAGAGAGAGAGAGAGAGAGAGAGAGAGAAGGGGGGGGGGGGAAGCUGAGGCUAUAAAGAUUCAAACAAAUUGAUAGAAAAUUGUCACAAGAUAUUGAGAUGGGACCACCUCUAAGGCAUUAAAAUUUCACACAAAUGCACAUUUUUAUGUCGAGCAAGUUGAGGAAGAGGGCACGGAAUCCAAAUAGGAAGGGAGAAAUAGAUAUGGAACUAGCGACUAAUUCAGAAACCCAUUUAGGGCAUGGAAAGACACCAGGUAGCAAAUAAUAAUUAAGAUUAUAGCAGAAAUGAUAUGAUCUCAGGGAAAGCACUUCCCCAGAUAGCAGCAACUGGGAACCGGUAGGGAGAAAAAAAUAAUGAUAAUAGUAAGAGGGAAUACAAUAAUCAAGUCGGCUAGACGAAUAUGGAUUAUAUUGGGCAGGUCCGGAGAAGGAAAUCUAUCCAAUUCCAAAUCCCAAUUCAAAUUCCCAAAAUAGCGCAAGUGAAACUGGCGAAUCGGGAAACCCUAGCGCGCUCAUAAAAAAGGAAGGAAGGUAGGUGGGAGGAAGCGAUCGCGAUAAAAAUGCUAGAUCUGUACCGUCCUGCGUGACGAGCGGGUAAUCGGAGGCGCUGAGGUUGAUGAACCAGUCCCAGUCGCCGCCCUCCUUGAGGAGGAUGGCGGCGGCGUGGAGCGUGUUGGCCACCAUGGUGGGGCCCCGGUAGGUGACGAGGUUGGCGCGCGUCACGAUCCGCACGUUCCCGAAGCGGGCGUAGGCGGGAUCGGCGCGCACGGCGGCGGCGAGCUCGAGGCGCUCCGGCGCGGGCGCCUCCAGGUCGAGGUGGAGGACGUAGCGGUUGGCCGGGUGGUAGAGGGCCCGGAGCGUGCGCCUGAGGCUGACGCCGUCGCCGGCGGAGCCGGAGAUGAGGUAGGCGAGGCGGGGCACGGCGGAGGAGGGGGCCGGCGGCGAGGGGAGGAGGCGGAGCUUGGGCUCGACGAAGAGGGGGUCGUCCCCGGCGAGGGAGCGGAUGGGGGAGAAGGAGAGGAGGAGGACGCGGGAGGAGGAGAAGAGGGAGAUCGAGAUGAGCAGGGACGAGAAGAGCACCAGCGCCAGCAACGGCACCACCCACUUGCGCUGCUGCUGCUGCAGCUGCGUCGUCGUCGUCGUCGUCGUCGUCGGCGGCGGCGGCGGCGGCGGCUUCGUGAUCUCCAUGAUGGAGAUUGGGGAGGGGUGGGGGGGAUUACGGGGGAGAACAAACAGGAGACGGGGCGGUUAUCUUCACCACCGGGAAUCGCCUCGGGAUCCGCAGUCGCUACUACUAAUACUGCUGCUGCUGCUGCUGCUGCUGCUGCUAUUCCGCCGCUCGCCCCGACCCGGCUCUACUGCUGCUGCGACGGGCCCCUCGCAUCGCAGCUCCCCAUGCGCCUCCUCCCUUUUGUCCUCACGGGUCGAGCGACGGUGAGUGCGGAAUCUGUACUCUGCAGAGCCAAAGUCCAAUGGUCAGCGCACCGCCUCUGAAUGAAAGAAGCGGAGGAAUAUUAUGAGGUAUUACGCGUCAUCAUUCAGUGGGGAACGCUGUGGUUACCGGUAUGGCCGGAAUAGUAAUAAUACAUAAUAAUACAAUACAAUAUAUAUAUACUAGUACUAAUUAAGGCCUUAUAAAUUCCCGAAUAUAAAAUUAAUAAUGUGGCAUUAAUCUAUCUAUCUAUCUAUCUAUCUAUCGUCGAGAAACCACCCUCUUCGCUACGGAAGGGGUUGUAGAGGAUCCGAUUCUUGAGUCGGUGUGAAAGGACGAUGUUGGCGGCUAGCCGCGAACUGGGCAAAAGGCUGGGAGCUAAUUAUUAAACAUCUGAUAACUUUGUGAUGAGUGGCACCGCACAAACAAGUAAAUUAAGAUUGCUACAGCAUAAUCAUAUAAAAAAGAGUUUAAGAUUAUGCAUGUAUAUUGACAUUGUAACGGGGUCACGGGCGCAGCACGACUCUUGUCAUGUAACAGAGGUCAACCGAGUGGGGUGGACCAUCUCAUUACACCGUCGCAUGCACCCACAGUCUAAAAGUCACACCAGAGAUGCAUUAUUAUGCGUCUUGCUUUUUUUUUUUUUUUUUUUUUUUUUUUUUUUUUUAAGGACAUAAUUAAGUAAGAGGAUUUAAAGAUUAUUAUUACAAUAUUUAAUUUCUAAUGCAAAGCUUUUGUUAAAAUAUUUAAUUUCUCUUGCAUGUCAUCUAUUUAAAUAUUUUUUACUACCUAAACUUUACUUGACUUUAGUAAAUUUAUUUUGAAAAUUAUUGAAAAUUAAAAUUCUUCUAAAGAUUCUUUUAUAUAUGCAGAAAUAUUGACGUUGUCGUCACGACCACAGACACUUGAAGCUGGAGUGUGUGCCCUCGAGUUGCCGAUUCUGCUGGCUGCUCGAAGAACUAGCUAUCUUAAAUUAAAUUAUCUUCUUCGCUUAAUUAAUUCUCUAUUCUCAAUGAAGCAUUUGAAAGAAACAGAAGAAAUAAUCCAUCAUAUGUACAUGUAUAUAUAUAGAGUGAGGCUACUAUGCUAUCGGAAGCAGGAGCCUUCCAUGCUUCCAGCUCGUUUGGAUGUUGCGACUUUCGAAUCGUCGAUCGGCUCCGUUAACUUGAUCUAGAGUAUUUGAAGUACCUAGAAAAUAAAUUUUAUGAUUUUAUGAUAUCAUUUGCCUAGUGAACGAAGGGGCUCAAUCAACGACUGAAAUAAAAAUCUUACAAAUGUAAUAAUAUGACAUUAAUAUUUUAAAUCAAAGAUAUUGAUCUUGUUUAUAUAGUAUAAAGAUUUUCUAUUAAAAUUUCACGUGAUUUGAAUAUUUCUACACCGUUAAACUUGCAAACGGCACACUACGGCCAUUGAAUUUGUUGAUUUUGAACCUAUUCGAUACUAGGUAAAUGAUAUCGAAAAUAAAUAAAAUUUAUUUUCUAGGUACUCAAAUACUCUAGAUCAAGUUUAACGGAGCCGAUCGACGGUUCGAAAGUCGCAACAUCGAAAACGAGCUGGAAGCAUGGAAGGCUCCGUGCUUCCGAUAGCAUAGUAGCCUCACUCAUAUAUAUAUAUAUAUAUAUAUAUAUAUAUAUAUAUAUAUAUAUAUAUAUAUAUAUAUUUGUAGUGUACAGCUGGAACGUUUCUUUCGUGAUAUCAUUUUUCCCUUUUCUUGUCGGUAAAGAGUUACAAUUUUAAACGACGCUAUAUACUUUGGUAACUUUAACUUUUUUACAGGGAGUGCGUCUAUUCAUCGUGAUUGAUCUGCAUUAAUUUCAUGUAAACUCCCUCCGCUAGCUUCAUAACCUGAGAAGCCAAUUGAACCAAGUCAGAUUGAGAAUAUUAUAUAAGAAUCUGAUCAUCAAUGCACGGCUUAAGUUUGAAGGAAAAAAAGAUGUUUCUAAUUUCAUGACAAGUGAUCAAUUAAGAAGGAAGCAUGGAUAUAUAUGUUACUGUCGAUAUUCUAUGUUGAUCUUGGUGUUGGGUAUCUUGGAGAGUGCACUGAAAGCCUCGUCGGACAAGACGAGAGUCGAGGUGCAUGAAUUCGUCCUGCAGAGGUCGACGACUUCGACUACGAUCGAACCGUCCUUGCACGGCCGCCUGAGGCCACUCAGGCAACGGAGCUGAUACUUUCUCCCACACGCUGCGCCGUUGUCCCAUAUCCCGUGACCUGCAGCCACGAAUAGGCCGCUUCCCGGCAGUUGAUCCUGGUCGUAUCCCGGGCAUCUUGUUGCUGCACAAAGGAAUCACACAAACACGUCCGAGCCUUUUAAACAAACUACGUUUCGAGCCAUAGAUGAUCAUUAUUACUCAAAUUACAUCAUCUCAACAUGUAGUGCUUUGAAGUUUGUAUUUCCUGGAUGUUCUUUUUGUUGAUGGGGGACAACUAUAUACUGAAUUUCGGAUUAUCUUUGUUCCUCUUUUACGUCGAAAUUGUGUAGGCCAUUUGGCAUCACCUCUCUUUUGAGUUUAUGAAUCAGUUUCGCCGUAUUAGGCAGGCAUUACCCUACACACACACACACACACACACACACACACACACUUUCAAAAACCUAGAGAAUCAGUUCCUUAGUAGCCAACAUCAAAGAUUCAGAAAAAAUUGAUAGGAGGUGAAAAACAAUAAAGAAGAAAAGAAACGACUUACGAAGAUACGGAGGGUCGUAUGAAGUAGCAGUUCCUACAUCCGCGACGACUCUGCCUACACAAAUGGUCUUGUAGAAUAGAGUAACAAGUGUUGCUGCUAGUGUUAGUAGACUUCUUUCCAUCUGCUCAACUAUAGGUGCUCAUGCUUUCCUUAGAGUGCGUAGACUCUAAUUUAUACUCCGAACAUCGUUGGCAUCCCCUCCCGAGUGCACGCCGAAUGGCGGCGCCCGUCAUAAUCUUUAAUCUUCAAUCUUCAAUAAUUAAUCAAGAUAUGUAUGACCGACCAUUUAUAUGUGCGGUCAAGCACAUUUCUCAACCACCCAUAUCAACUCCAGAUAAAUAUUUCUCUCUCUCUCCCUCAGCGUUUCUCAUUCCCAGAUACUGAAAUCCUCUGUUUCUUGUAGCUGAAAAUAUAUAUAUAAAAAAAAAAUCACUUUCGCAAAAGCGGCUUUUCAAUUCCUUUUAUUAUUAUCUAGUGAUCAAGCUCCUUCAUCAGGCGCUGCUCUUAGCAGUAGCAGAGAAUUUCAUACGCACACGGCUCUACGGAGCUCCCACUAGGCCUGCUAAUGCAGGGGAGAUCGAGCACUUUUAAAUUUGGUCACCAAAAAAUGAGGGUACGUAAAGAUGUACGUGCGUAUGAUCCCAAACACUAUUCCAUGUAUUAUGCCCGUGAAAUAAUUACCUUUUGUUCUUCGAACUUUCACUCAUGCUGCAAUUUCAUCCCGAUCAUAAACAAAUCUCAGUUUUUUUCUAUAAAACGACAGAUUCAGUCUAUCGCUAUAAAAUGAUUUGCUUGCUUGUUUCAGUUGCCUUUGAAAUAAGAGUUUGAAGAAUCAUUCUGUACGAAAAUGUUAGUGUGUUAUUAGAAAUUUUCUAGCUGUAAUGAUGUGCGUAUUUAAGUGCAGUUUAUAAAUUAAACUGCUUUAUUGAGAUAGAACAAUGAGUAUCUAACAUUCUAUCGUAAAAGGAAUAAGCUGGCUUUGUCAUCGAAUGCAGAAGCUUACAUAAGACUCCUACUAACGACACAAAAAGCUUCACAUUGGAUUUUAUGUGGAUGAGUCCCAUGGGUUUAGUAUACAGUGUGAUCCACUAAUUAAGGAAUUUUUUUUGGACACUUCUCUAUCUUUCUUUUAAUUGGACUCAUGAUCUAGUUUUUCUUAUUUGGAUCCAACGUAGAGCGCACCAAAUCUUUUGCGAAUCUCCUCCAACCGGAAUAUCAGAUACACGGGUGAACAAAGUUUUUAAUAUUAAUUCCCAAGCUCUUUAAUUUCUUGUUCUUCGCACUGAUCUUAAGAUGUUAUGCUAAUUGCACGAUAUUUAGUUGUGAAUAUAUAUACGCAAUUAUAUAACACCGUAAGAUGUCUAAACAAAUAUAUAUUCCUGGCCAUCUCGUUGGCCUAUUUUAAUUAAAAGGUUAAUUGUUUAUGCUAGUAUAUCUGCCGGCGCAUGACAAAUUACAAGCACAGUUAGAUUCAAGUUCAUAGUUGACUAGUCAGUGGAACAAAUCAUGAUUUUUUUGAAAGAGCUAUAUAAAAGAGAUUAGUUUCGACGGACAGUACAAACACCAUUAAAAUAUUGUAGAAAUAGUAUGCAUAUUCAUACAUAUCACACCACUAAAACAUUAAUUGUCCACUAAAAAUAUUUACAUUUGUCCUUAGGAUAUAUAGCCCCCGCUCAUUAUUUCGUACAUAUGCAGUAAUGAUUUUAGCUCUGCCGUACAAUAUUAUAUAUUUCCUCAUGUGCUGGUGUGCACUUUAUUCCUUUGCUCGAUCUUAAUUAAACAACUUCAUCGGAAUAUUAUUUAUCCGGCAACGCAGAGUACGGGACUAGCUCUUAAUUGCAGUACUUAUAUUGCACAUCAGUCCAGGGGGAAAUUAAAUAUUUCCUCUGCUGCUAUUGCCCAGAUAUCAUUUGCACGUAUAAUUUUGUCGUAAUUAAAUUCCUUUGCUGAUGCACCAUGUAUACGUACUUAUUAAUAAAAUGGCUUGGCCCGUUCAAAUCCUGCACAAAUAUGAGCAAGAGAUUAAUUAGGAACUAUGCCACGGAAAAGAAAUUAAAAGAGACAUGUUUUUGUUGCCCUUUAAUUAACGCGCGGGUAAAAAAGAGUUGAGAAUGAUGAUUAUUUGGUAAGAGUUGUGCACGUACUGGAUGUAUUCGACGUUGAUCUUUCCGCUGGUGGAUUGCGAGAUUGCGUCGAAGGCAUCUCCGGAGAGGAGGAGGUUAGCAGGGCAUGGAUUUUGAGAGCAUUUAUCCACCACCUCCACCACUAUACUAACUCCUUCCUUACACGGCCUGUUGCUGCCGCUCAGGCACCGCACCAUGUAUUUCCUCCCGCACGCUGCCCCAUUGUUCCAAAGCCCGUCGCACACAGCCGCAAACAUGUUGUUUGGGGGAAACUGGUCUUCCCUAUUCCCGUUGCAUUUCGUAGCUGAACCCCGACGGAAAAUAAAUGAGUAAAUGAAAUAUAUAACCAAAAAGUUGGAAAAAAAUAAAGAAGAUAAAUUAAAACACAUUAAUUAUAAUUAGAAAUUCAGCCUAAGAAAACUUUGAGAGAGAUAUAUUUAUUUAUACAUCUAACAAAAUGCACCACAUGCAUUAAAUACUUACGAGUGUACGGUGGGCCAUAGGAGGUUGCGGUCGCGACAUCUGCGGAGACUAGGACUCUUCCUUCGAACCACUGUAAGCUUAGUAAAGCUAGCAUGAUUGCGAAAAGCCUCAUGGUUAGAGUACUCCUCAAGCGAGAGAGUGAAUCAAUCGAUCCUAUGCUUCGAUUCCUAUAUAUAUAUAUAUAUAUAUAUAUAUAUAUGUAUAUAUAUGUGCUUAUUGUUUGAAGGCUAGCUAGCUAGUAGUGCUAAUUUAUAGAUAAUUUAGUAAGUUAUAUAUAUAUAUAUACCGUGCCCUUAUAUUUAUGUAGCUAGUCUCUCUCACGCCUAAAGUUUGCACUAAGUUUUACUCAUCAAAUAGAUUGCUUAUGAGUAUACUCCUUUUCUCUUUGUAUAAGUACUCGAGCAACCUUAUCCCAUGCACAAUCCAACCGCAUAUAUCUUUGGAUUAUCUCGGGCUUUCACGAAAACAUUUUGCGUGCAAGAUAUAUAAUGGCUAGCUUUUCGAUCGUUUAUCACGUGGACUCGCGAAUAGUGAGGAAUUAAUUAGCCGCCUCCAUGACGAAGCUAGGAACUAAAACUAGUGCAGGUGUUGUAGUGCGUGCCAUAGAUGUUCUCAUCAUGCAUGCUUAGCAUUCGUGCUCAUCCAGCUUUACACAGCAGUAACGUAAUCGUGCCCUUUCUUUUGCUCCUAAGCGCAUGCUUAGAUUAUUUUUUUGGAUAAUAUAAUAUCAUAAUAAGCCUCGCGGUGCCAAGAGGUGUUACAACGUGGGUUCAAUUUCAUUGUCUUUAUAUCAUCUUAUCUUAUGAAUUUCUCUAUAUUAUUCUUAAUAUGAUUUUUCUCCUGUUGGUACGUGUAGUGCAUAGACGAAUAGUUUAAUAGAAAAUUUACGAUAAGCUUCAAUUCACCCUAUUAUGAUUUAACGCAUUUUAAUUUUGCCACUUGAUUUAUAGUUUUAAAGUUGCACUUAACUAUAUAUUUAUAUAGUUGUUUUAUUUUUAUUUUACUAGCCAGAAGAGCUCAUCAUUAGCCAAAAUAGUAAAGUGAUACAUAUUUUUGUAAAUUAUUUGGUUGCACAAUAUGGCAUUCUAUCUUCUUAUAAUUUUGUACUUUAUUACUAUAUAUAUGGUUUUAUAACAAUAUCAAGAAUAUAGUACUCUUGUAUAAAAUAAAAGAAAAAAUAUAAAAUAAUUAAGUACAAUUUUUCGAAUAACACGAUCAUGAAAUAAGAAUGCUUUAAACUGUAGGAGAGAUCGAGAAUCAUCUUAAUUUUUUUUUUUGUUUUGAAAAAUGAUGAUUCCUUACUUAUCUCUUUGGAUUGCGUUUUAGUGGCCAUGAUGACGAUAAUGGUGGUGUUAAUUAUAUUCUCUAAGCGACCGACUAACAAGCAAUUAAUUGCCAUGUGCCCUGCAUUAACUACUUGGAGCAUAUAUAUUCCGGGCAAUAAAUUAACAAGUUGUCAGGAAGUUAGAAUAUAUUCAUCUAAUUUCCAAAUGAUACGUGUGGAUCAAUUCGAGAAAACUACUAAUGAAGGUAUGUUUUGCUUUAAUUAUUAGCUUUAUUUAUCAUGGAUUGUAUGGCUAUCAACUCGUUAGCAACUUUUUUUUAAAAAAAAGAAAAAUCCAUUUAGAAAGAUGUCGAUCCAUCAGGCGUUACAAAUGUGAUUAAUUAAAGCAGACCUGGACUAAUGUUUUCUGUUGACUAAAUAAAGUCCUUCAUAACGAUUAAUUCGCUUUAGAAUAGGAGGAGAAGUUUCUCAACUCCAUGUUCUGAUUAAAGUUUUGCUCAAUAACGCUGUUAGGAGAAGCGUUAUAUUAAAGUAUUUAUUUAAUCCCAAACCAACCUCUGCUUGCGAGGAGAUCAUUUACAUCAAAAUAGAAAUUCUUGCUUUUCUUUUUAGCUACAGUUUUUUUUUUUUUUUUUUUUUUUCUCUUCCUUGGAGUGUGCCGAUCGUUAUUGCUAAACUAACGGAUAUUUGAAAAUAGGAGUAGAUCUUGUGUGCUCUUAGGAGCACGGAGGCCUCCGUGCUCCUAAGUCGUUUCAACGAUGGAGCUUCCGAAUCGGCGAUCGGCUCCGUUAAAUUUGAUCUAGCGUAUUUGAACUAUCUAGAAAAUAUUUUUUUUGAUUUUUCGGUAUCAUUUUCCUAGCGAUCGAAAGGGUUCAAAAUCAAUAAUUUUUAAUGGUUGAUGUAUACCGUUUGCAAGUUUAACGGUGUAGAAGUAUUCAAAUCAGAUAAAAUUUUGAUAGAAAAUUCUUUAUACUAUUUACAGUAAGAUCAAUAUGUUUGAUCGAAAAUUUUAACGCUAUGUCAUAACUUUUUUUUGAGAUUUUUAUUUUCAACCGUUGAUUUUGAACCCUUUAGAUCAUUAGGUAAAUAAUAUCGAAAAGUCACAAAGUUUAUUUUUAGAUACUUCAAAUACGUUAGAUCAAGUCUAACGGAGCCGAUCGUCGAUUCAAAAGCUCCAUCAUCGAAAACGGCUUAGGAGCACGGAAGCCUCCGUGCUCCUAAUAGCUACUCUUGAAAAUAGUAUCGAUCUGAAUAUUUGUGUAUGUAUAGUUUUACAAUUUAGAGCAAGGGUAGGGUAGGGAGAUCAUUGGGCUGACUUUGGAUGUUAGAUCCGCCCGCUUUUAUUGCUCCUUGUGCAGGCCUAACCCGUAACAGAAUGGGCCUAACCCGCUUUUAUUUGUGUAUGUUAUUUUGCUAAGCCCCUGAGUGGGCCUGCUGCUGCGUUACCUUUUAGGCUUUCUUUGGCAGUACAAUGAUUUAUGGGGUUUUUUUGCAUUUAGCCCCCUAGUAAAUUUUUAUUUUAAAAAUAGCCCUAUCAAAAUUUAAUUUGCAAAAAUGGCCCUGCACCUGCCACGCAGGCGCCACGUCAGCGCCACGCGGGCUGGGCAUGGGCCAGUGUAUUAAGUUAAACACGGUGAACCAUUCACCGUGUUCAAACACGGUGAAUGGUUCACCGUGUUUAGUACGUAUUUUUUUCUAGAAGAAUAGGGAGUUAGGGAUGUUAAUGGGGUAUGGAUAUCCAAAAUAUUAUUCGAACCUAAACCCGAAUAAAUUAUAUAUAUACAUAACUUAUUUUUAUUUAUUUAUACAAUAUAUAAAAUAUCUAAUAAUUUUUAUUUCUUAGAUCUUCAUCAAUCCAAUGGUAUAGAUUUUUAAAAUUAUUAGAUAUUUUAUACCGUUGGAUUGGAUGAAGAUCUAAGAAAUAAAAAUUAUUGGAUAUUUUAUAUAUUGUAUAAAUAUAUAAAAAUAAAUUAUGUAUAUAAAAUAAUUUAUUCGGGUUUAGGUUCGAAUAAUAUUUUGAAUAUCCAUACCCCAUUAACAUCCCUAACUUCCUAUUCCUCUACAAAAAAAUAAGUAUUAAACACGGUGAAUCAUUCACCGUGUCUAAACACGGUGAAUGAUUCACCGUGUUUAACUUAACUACCGCCCCCAGCCCCGCCCGCGUGGCGCUGACGUGGCGCUUGCGUGGCAGGAGUAGGGCCAUUUUUGCAAAUUAAAUUUUGCUAGGGCUACUUUUAAAAUAAAAAUUCUUCAGGGGGCUAAAUGCAAAAAAAGCCCAUGAUUUAUACUACAAAACAAGAACAAAUAUAUUAAACAAAUCAAAAGUAUUUAUAAUCUUUCAUCCUCAAAUAUUUUAAAAUUGUAAUUAAAAGCGUGAUUUCUGCGGCAGCCGUUGCAAACAUAGUUUUAUAAUACAAAAGAAAAAAAAAUCAACACGCUUUAAAAUUUUUAGCCUUUUUAUAUUACUAAAAUAAUAUUUUUAGCCAAUGUAUCACCAAACUAGACCUUUGGAAAGUGUCUAGCAGUGAAGAAAAAUUAAACCUUCUAUUUUAUCGAGGAGAAGAAAUUAAAAUGAGAUUUUAAGUAUGAAAAGCAGAAGGUUAAUUAAUUAAUUUAUUUAUUUUUACCUUGCCUCUAACCGAAACUAAUGUUGAGAAUAUCAUUAAUCUCUUUUGUUUUUGUUUUUUUUUCUCCCCUUAAUACGGCUACACAAUUUGCAUGAUAUCAUUUUCUCGAAGUAGUAUUAUAUCAAAACCAUAGCGCAGUAAAAGUGGUGUAGGUCCCAAUUAAAGGUCCCACUUAUCUCUUUCGGGUGAUUAGAGAUUGGAGGGAGCGAAUGGACCCUCACAUCAAAAUACUCUCAUACCACGUAGGCACGUACAUACAUAGGAUCGUGCCAUGCAUACUCCGUCUUAUCCAGUUAAUAUAUGUAUGUGGUCACAGCUUUAUAUAUGAGAGCAUGUUGUCUACAAUGUAGAGAAAGCACUUGUGGCAUAAGUCCCUCUCUCACUUUAUAUACAUAGCUGGGUAAUAGAUUCCAUCUCCACUGAGAAGAGUUUUUUCGUCCACUACAUUAUAUUGUAUUGCAUCUCAAACAACAUGAACAACAUGAUGUUAUCUUUGAUGCUAUAUGCCAACACCGGUUGUUUGCGUGUGUGUGUGUGUGUGUGUGUGUGUGUGUGUGUGUGUGUGUGUGUGUGUGUGUGUGUGUGUGUGUGUGUGUGUGUGUGUGUGUGUGUGUGUGUGUGUGUGUGUGUGUGUGUGUGUGUGUGUGUGUGUGUGUGUGUGUGUGUGUGUGUGUGUGUGUGUGUGUGUGUGUGUGUGUGUGUGUGUGUGUGUGUGUGUGUGUGUGUGUGUGUGUGUGUGUGUGUGUGUGUGUGUGUGUGUGUGUGUGUGUGUGUGUGUGUGUGUGUGUGUGUGUGUGUGUGUGUGUGUGUGUGUGUGUGUGUGUGUGUGUGUGUGUGUGUGUGUGUGUGUGUGUGUGUGUGUGUGUGUGUGUGUGUGUGUGUGUGUGUGUGUGUGUGUGUGUGUGUGUGUGUGUGUGUGUGUGUGUGUGUGUGUGUGUGUGUGUGUGUGUGUGUGUGUGUGUGUGUGUGUGUGUGUGUGUGUGUGUGUGUGUGUAUAUAUAUAUAUAUAGUUGUAUUCGAGCUUUUCAAAGUAAUUCUUAUAUUGCUCCAAACUUUUUCUUUUCAUGUUGGAAAAGUAUCUAUAUUCCUGAAGUUGCAACUUCAAACAAGCUCUCCAUCUAACUAAGACCCAAUCCAAUGGUCUUCGUGAAUCAUUGGCUCCGCGAGGCCAAAAAGAAACAAAUACAAAAUUAAAUUGACACACGAGGAAACAGAAAAUGCUCGGUCAAAAACUGUUCCUCAUCAUCUCGAAGUCCUUCAUGCGUACCGGUGGGUUGUAGCACAAUUAAAGCUGAGAUAUUAGAAAUUGCCAUUAAAAUUUUCUUUUUUUUGAGAAAUAGAUAGCAAGCUAUCUGCUUCAUUUAUUAAGUCAAAUGAACCGAGCAUACAGAUUGGAAGCAGCUUAGGUCUCCGAGGAGCCGGUAAAAGGAGAAGAUUAAAAUAAAAGCAAAAUAGAAGAAAAAGGAAGGUCAAAGUCACGACAGAAAGAGAAAUAGAGGGGGGGGUACGUACAAGGGGCUUCAGAGCAAUGUGGUCUAAUUGCUGAUCAGUAACAUUGGGCGGCUUUCCGUUGAAAACAUAGUUAUUUUUAUCCGUCCAGAUUACUCACCAAGUCGGAGCCAGAACGAUCAAGCGUUGUUUUCUCGACGAUUCAACAGGGAUUUCUGUACUUUCGGCCCAGAGGCCUCUAGCAUUAGCUACGCCGUCAUUGUUUGCGUCUACUCCUCCCAUUCUGAGAAGAAGAUACCGUACGUAAACACAAUCGUUGAAAAGGUGGUUGCAGCUUUCCAACAGGAUUGCGCAGAAAGCACAGUUCUGGUCUACAUGCAUGCCUCGGGUGAGCAAUCUGUUGGCAGUAGGUAGUCUCUUUCGAAGGAGCAGCCAGAUGAAGACUUUAAUUUUAACAGAAAUUUUUAGCUUCCAGAUGUGCUGAUUCGUCGGGGUGUCACUAUUCACCUUUUCUUUUUAUAUUUCAGCAUAAAUAAUAAUAUAAUAAAAUUAUAUUUUAAAUUUUUUUUUAAAAAAUAGAUAGCACGUUAUCCACUUUAUUUAUUUCGUUUAGAAAUAAAUUUAGCUGACAAUACGAAUCAAUUAGAAUUCGAAAUUUUAAGUUCGAAUUAAAGUGACAAAUGUGCGCAUUCCCCAAAACCGAAUAUGGCGUGGUGUGUGAAGUGUCGCCACCACCACCCACCAUCGUGCUUCGCUUCACCUAACCCCUGCUUGUACGAAUAGGGCCUAUACAUGUGACAUGUGCCGAUUGAAUAUAUUUAAUGACCUCUGGUGGAAUUAAUUAAAAGGUCAAACGCGGUGACUAAAUAUUAAUAAUAUUAAAUAUUAAUUAGGAAACAACGUAAUAGACUAAUUUAUGCCUAAUUUGAAAUGUAUUCAUUACCUUUAAUUACUCCAUAAUUUUUUUAAUUUCUAGCCUAAUUGAAUUUGAUAGCUAUAUUUGGCACUAGUUAUUAAUUAUUAAGAGAUUUCAAUUUUUAAAAAAUUAUGAGUAAAUUUACUGAAUUUAAAAAAGUAUUCGGCCGCUGAGAAGAACCUUUAUAUAUUUUUGUUUAAGAUGUCACCAUCAGAAAAUAAUAACAGUACGGAGGUUGGUUGGAUGGAUGGAUGGAUGGAUAUCGGUUAUUUGGACUUCUUAUCUUAAUUUACCAUCGUCCGUUUUACGAAGACAGCCUAAUAGAACGGCGUAAUGCGCACGAUUUUGGUCGCGAGGGGUUGGGGACGGUAAAAUCCGAAUGUUGCGAAUCCAACCAAAACAAAAAAAAAAAGAAAAAAGAAAGAAGAAAGAGGAGUCGCCUUUGGAUUAGAGAGGGAGCAUUUAUCGAGGGGGGCGAAGGCCCAAGGAAACGGAAGCAGGCGCAGAAGCAGAAGAAGUUCCCUCCCCUCUUCCCCCACCUCCUCUCCCUCUCUCUCUCGCUCUCUCCAUUUCUCUCUCCCCUCCAACUAAAAGAAGCCCGACGGAGAGAGAGAGAGAGAUUAGAGAGAAGAGGGACGAGAAAGAGGUGUGUUCUUCUUUCCUUUUUGGGGGGAUCUACUUGUUCGUUCGAUCCAUCGAUCCAUCGAUCGAUCGAUCGAUUUGCGCCUGCGCCGCCGACAAGUUCCAGGUGAUCCUUUCCAAACCCUAAUUUUUCUCCUUCCGUCUAUCGAUAUUCGAUACCCGCCGCCGCUCGAAUCUUUUUCGCAAUUAAUUUUUUGUUGCCGAGCAUUUGUUGCCUCGAUUGCUCGGAGAUUCCUCUUUUUUUUUGUUUCCGGCAUAGGAAUUGAAUUGCCCCUUUGAUUUCGCGACCUGCCUUCGAUUGCUUUCUUUUUUUCUUCUUUCCUAAUCCCUAUCGACAUCUCACAAUUCCUUUUUCUUUUUUUUUUUUCUUCUUAACCCGUAUUUUAUGCUAGAAAAUCUCACCUAUCCUGGAGAAAUCGGUUAAAAAUUCGAAAUUUUCCUAUUGCCAAUUUCCUAUCAGUAGAUUCCCUUGUUGCAAUCGAUCCCCAAGACAAAAUCCUUCAUUUUUGAGAAUUGCCUGUUCCCAUUUUCAAGUGUCGGCCCCAACUCUGUAGUUUGAUCGUCUGGAAUAUAGGAAUUUGGUGCCUAAAACUCCAGCUCGGAAUCUAUCCCCCUUUGCUAUUGCUAGUCCCGAGUGGAUGACGAGGAAGAGUAUGCAACCCGUUGAGAAGAAGAGCGACUGGUUCCUGCCCUUGCCGGAAUUAAACUUUCCUUGGAGCAUCCAAGAUGAUAAAAGCUCUCCAUGUCUUCUCCAAGAAGCUUUCUACCCUCCCGGCGGCUUAUUCGCGAGUGUUGGGCAGAUGGGAGUAGGCUUCGGCGUAUCGCCGAACACCCCUAACCCUAACUCUAACCCUAACCCUAACCCUAACCCUAACCCUAGAGAUAAUGGCAUUAAGAUCCCAUGCACUGAUCUCUACCUCAAGUACGUGUCGCCGGAAGUUGGAUAUCGAGUUGUUGGAACUCCGAGCGAGUCUCUAGCAGUCGAAGAUGAAACAGCUGAAGAAGCUACGAAGAGAAAGAUUGAGAAGAAGGGUGGGUUGAAGUUAAAGAUUAGGGUUGGGAAUCCUCAUUUUAGGAGGUUAAUUAGUGGCGGAAUUGCCGGGGCAGUGUCGAGGACUGCUGUUGCUCCCUUGGAGACGAUAAGAACACACUUAAUGGUCGGUAGCAAUGGGAACUCGACAACAGAAGUGUUUCAGAAUAUUAUGAAUACUGAGGGGUGGAAGGGUUUGUUUCGUGGUAAUUUUGUUAACGUCAUUCGAGUUGCACCGAGCAAGGCUAUUGAGGUAACUUAUUGUUGGCUAUCUGUUUCUGCAUUUAUGGGAUUACUUUGAUACAAAAUAUUGUUAGAUUGUUUGGCCAAUUCUAUAUCCCUUAUGUGUCGAACUGCCAUUGCAGAUGGUUUUGUUAGCUGUUGCUGUCCAUUAUUAUUUGUUUGGUUGCUAUUGUUUGACGUUGGUUUGGGUAAAUUUGUUAAAGUUUUUUUUGGCUGCAAGUUAUAUUGAUUUUUAUCUUUUUGACUGCUACAAUUGGAGCCAUUUUAUCUGAAAUUAGUUGUUUUUCUAUAGCACUUUUUUUUUUUUUUUUUUUUUUUUUUUUUUUGCAUAUUAGAGCCUAAGAUCCUUUAUUUGCAUAUUAUACGCUCCACUGUCCCAAUUCCCGAUUUUGAUCCUCUAAACUUCUUCCAAUUGAAAGACUUUUAGAGGAUUCGGUGCACAAUCUUGACUUGUAACUGAUCAGACAGAUCUUGUGUCUUGGCAAAUUAACUUUUCUGAUUGUGUAAACCCUUUCCUGCGAGAACAGCACCAGUUUUUAGGGAGUUGUUAUUCGCUUUUUUUCAUCUCAAAGGUCUUCGUAAGGUGGCAGGAUUACUUUAUGGUGACCUGAAUGUUGUGGAUCCAAAUGCAAAAAAGGCUCUCAACAAAUGGUGGAUCUCGCUGUAGUGGGAACCUUGUGCAUUUGUUUGCUCCCUAUUUGGAGAGCACCGUAAAUGCAGCUAGACUGUCUAGAUUAGGUUGGUCUGUGCUUGAAAUUGGUGAAUGAUGCCUUAAGAAACAAUUUUAUAGGGGAAAUGCAUGGUCACGAGCAUCUUGUCAUGGUCAAAAGCCGUCUUCUCUUGGAAUUUGCUUCAAGACUCCUAGAUAGUCACAUGGUGUGGAUCAAAGAUGGUGGAUGUACAUAAAAAUAUCUAGUGUAAUGCAGCUGAAAUUUCUGUUCCCUUUUUGUUUAAAAAUUUCUUUUGUCAGGACCAGAUUGAGAUGUGUGAUUCAAGAGCUGCUACAUGAAUCUAAACUCCAUGACUAUCUUUGUUUUUAUUUUGCUUAAACUUAUCAGUAACUAUAAAAAUGCAUUUUUCAAAUUGUACAGGCAUGGUAGUUGUCUGUAGUAGUUUAGUCUGCGCCCAUGUGAGGUUUUAUGGGGAUACUCUCUUUUGUUUCCAACUUCUUGAUGCAUAAAAUUUAGUAGCGUUCCGUAAUGUCUAGAAUCUUGUUGAUCGUCUUGCUCUUGAAGUUACAUAGAUUUUGUUAUUAUGAUAGUCAAAUUUGAAUGCAUCCUGCUACAGGUUAAAGUCCUCUAAAUGUGAUAGCUGCAAUAUCGAUAUUCAAUUUUAUGUCUUUCAGUUGUUUUCACUGUUGUUAUUCUGCAAAUACACUGUCGAGUAGCUAAGCAGAUUAUGUCUUGGUACUGUUCUGUGGCUUUUCUCACUGCACAAUUAUACAAAAUAUUGUUUAAGCUUGUCUCUAAAGGUUUCUAUUCUGGUCAAUUCUAGUUGCAGAUGGUGAAUGUGAAUGCAUUAUUUUGUUUACAAAAUGAAAGUUUAAUGUAUGACUCGUUAGUAAAAAAAGAUUCAUGUUGUGAAGCUGCAUUAAUACACAUCCCAUUUGUGAACUUUAAUCAUAUUUUGUUGUUAGUGUACUCCGCCAAUUAUGAAUAUAACUUUUUAUGUAACUCAGCAGGUUUCUGAACCCAACACUGUGUACCGGAUGAACAAUAUAGUUAAAAAAUUACACGUGCAACGCUAUAUACUCAUCUGUUCAUCUGCCUGUGUUUGUAGAGUAACAUAUUUGCAAUUAACUCCUUUUCUAGCCUGUGGAAUUGGUAAGAAAUAUCUUCUGUUGAUGCCUUUGUAAUCAUUUGCAUUAAAAUUUGGGAACGCUAACAUACAUUAUGCUUAUCGUAUCUUGAUUUCUUCUGCUCGCGCUAUUCUUUAUUUAUGUCUAUUGUGUACAUUACGUGCAUAAUUAACAAAGGAGUAUCAACCAGUGUGUUUGCAUUAUUUAUCUUCUAUCAGUAUUAUACUUGUGAUGGCUAAUAGUCUACUAUGUUGUCCAGCAAUCUUUAUGAUUGACUUUCAAUUUUUCCUUUUACAGCUAUUUGCUUAUGACACAGCUAAAAAGAUCUUAACUCCCAAGUCCGGGGAACCUCCUAAACUUCCUAUCCCUUCUUCCCUAGUUGCUGGAGCAUUUGCUGGAGUCAGCUCAACCCUGUGUACAUACCCUCUUGAAUUAAUCAAGACUCGACUUACCAUACAGGUCAGUAAUUCGUCGAGAAAAAUUGAAGGUUUCAUUAUAAAUCAGAAGAGGACGGAUGAUGCGUGCUCCUACCACCUAUCUUAAUCCAAUAUCUUACAUGCAGAGAGAUGUUUAUGAUAAUUUCCUUCAUGCCUUCGUUAAAAUCUUGCGUGAGGAAGGCCCAACAGAGCUCUACAGAGGCCUAACACCCAGUCUUAUUGGUGUGGUGCCCUACGCAGCGACCAACUACUUUGCGUAUGACACACUGAGGAAACUCUACAGGAAAACAUUCAAACAGGAGGAAAUAGGCAACAUUGCAACUCUUCUGAUUGGCUCGGCUGCCGGUGCUAUCUCGAGCAGUGCGACUUUCCCACUCGAGGUGGCGCGGAAACACAUGCAGGUGGGAGCGGUGGGCGGCCGACGGGUGUACAACAACAUGCUCCAUGCUCUUUUGAGUAUACUCGAGAACGAAGGGAUCGGCGGGCUCUACAGAGGGUUGGGGCCGAGCUGCAUGAAGUUGGUGCCUGCCGCGGGGAUCUCAUUCAUGUGUUAUGAGGCUUGCAAGAAGAUUUUGAUUGACGAAGAGGAUCAAUAAGUCCUGAUAAUUCAUUCAACAUGGGUGAUAGCUUAGGUUCCGAUAUUUAAAUGUUUGACUUGAUCUUAGUUUUGAUAAUUUACUUAAAUUUUAUUUUCUGGGUAUGUUAUAGGAGCUCAAGUUGCACCAAAUAUUUUGUUUGAGCUGAUUCUUUCUUUUCUUUUUUAAAUUUUGGUUGGAUCAUCUUAUUUGAUUAUGCUGUAACCUCUAUGGUGGGGUUCGGAUUUUGGACUAGUAGAGAAAUCUCUUGGAAGUAAAUUACUUCAUACUGAUAUGACGCGGUAGUCGUUCUUCAUGUCGUUUUCAUCUGUUCUGUUGUCUCAAACUAGAGCAAGUGUGUUUGUGGUGCUCUGGAGCAGUAGUGUUUUGGAAGCUUAUCUGUUGUAUGUGAGGUGGACUAUGUUGUAUAGCAAGCCAAGAGGACUCGAUGCUCUGGUCUAGCUCAUGAUCAUCAAAUUCUCAUGACCACCAAAUUCUGAAUAUUUCUCAGUUGUGAAGCUGAAUUAACAUUUUAAACUUUUUCUGAAUAUUUAUUUAGAGGACGGAUGAUGCGGGAAUUAUGAAAAAGUUUAAAAUGUUAACAAUUGCGCUCUAUCAUUCAUAUCUCUGAACUAUCAAAAUUGUGUUCCUAGAAUUCACCAAUUCCAUAAUAAUUUUUUUUUUCUUGAGAGGACCGAUGAGUUCAUUUUGCCAAUAGGUCGCGCUUAAAAUAAAAGAAACAGCAAAUUAAACCUAAUCUGUCAACGUCGUGUUUAAACACAUCAUUUUUAUAUUAAUCCAAAAGGCAGCAAAUUUGUUCUCAGCUUGUUAAACAAUCGGAGAAUUAUCAUAUUCCAACACUACUAGCACUGGAGAUGCAGCUUGAGUUUUUUUUUUUGAGGGACAAAAGAAGGAAAAGAUAACAUAAAACUUCAAGAUAACAUUAUCAUUCUCCACUACUAAAAAAAUAUAACUGAACACAUUGGUACAUCCACCCACAGAAAAAACUAACACAUACCUCAACUUAAAAAAAAAAAAAAAGAAGAAGAAGAAAAGACAAACUCACUAGUGAUAAAGUGCACUUAGUUCAUUAUCAUGUAUGCAGCUAAUGUCCUAACAAAGAAAAACCAACAAAUGACAGAAAAAAUAGCAAGAGCGAGAACAAGCUUUCACUAUUCAGCUCUGCUCCUCACCGUCACCCGCCUCCUUCUCUUCUGCUGCAGCAGCCAUCAAUUCAUCGAAGUUCUCUGUCUUCCCCAGCAAUAUCUCAAUCUAGGCAUGAAAUUACAUGUGAAGCGAAGAUGAAUAGACUUUCCUGGAAACAUAGAGAAGUAAAAGCAAGCCUCUUAUUCAUAAUGGAAAACAUAGCCAACCUUUGCUUUCUGAAUUGAUCUUCCCCUUGUUUCGUCCUUCACGUCAACUGUAGAAGUCGUGAUCUCUGCAAAAGAAUUGUUUAAACUAGAAUGUAACUAGUGAAAUCCCAACUUUAUACCCAUGGAACAUAUAUUGGAGCGUCCAUUGUAGGAGAUGAAAGUGAUAUAUGAAGCAAGAAUACUUACUCUUCUCGACAGCAAGGCCAUUGUUCUUCAGAAUCUCCGCGAUUGUCACGACAGUUGCGAUAGCUGAAAUAUCAAACACAAUUGUCUUUAGCAAUCUUAUAUAUCAGAAUUUUGCAAGGUAUUAUCAAAAGGAGAAAAGCAUUUGACAUUCCAAAUCAAUCAUGGUUGAGAAGUUAUAAGCACCUCUGAGAAAAUGAAAUCACAAAAUAAAAUAAGAAUAGAACAAUUAAACAAUGCAGUAAAGUGCAAGCAUCAGUUGUAUUGUCUGUAGAAGGAUACGUAUGCUAAAUGAUUGCUGGAAAUUCUAGCAGUCUGAUUGUAAUGCUGGAGAUUGCGGCAUAAGAGUAUGUAAUACACAAAACAGUGCGGAGCAAUGAAUUGCAAGAAAUCAGAUUGUAAUUCAAGAAAUUGUAGCAUCAUGGUAGGUAUACUGGAAUAACAAUCUUGUACAACUCUUUUCUUAAGAAGUUCACUCAACUGAGUUUGAUUAGAUAUAACGUGUCAGGAAUGCAGAAAAAAAUAGCCAGCAGGUAAUCCAAAAACAUCACAACACGGAAUAAUCACUACAAGUACCAUUGCAUAUUCUGUGUUAUUGAAAUUAAAUCACAAGCCCUACUUGCUAGAAAGCGGUAGGCUGAUAUUUCCAUGUUUAGAUUCUUUGAUGUUACUUUGCAACAUAGGUAAAAGCCUUACCACUAAGAAUAAAGCACCUCAAAUAAUAAGUAAUCCUAACAAGAUAAAAGGACACCAGAAAAAUAAAGAGAGAGGAACUGAUAUCACUUGCACCCACCUCUUGUUCCAAUUGCUUUCUUAGGCCAGGAUUAAAACCAAAUGCAAAGCAAGAAACAGCAAGAACAAUCUUAGCACUUAUUCAAAGAGCUAAAUUUCCGUAACACAACAUUGAGAGAAAUCCAACUUUUUGAUCAUAUUGUCAUACACCGAGUAGAAAUGAUCAAUAGUCAUUAUUGACGACCAAAGCAUAACAAUCAAUUUCACACUGAUGACCUAGACAGACCAAUAACUAGUUGAAUAUCCUAAAAGGAGAAAUAAUUACAUAGUCCUUCUAAUUUACAUCGAAAAGAAAAAAAAAAUGCUAGGCCAGCUUGAUAUGUAUUUUCCUGAGCCCAUAAUUGUUAACUCACCAACACACGAAUAACAAAGUGAUAACAAGGAUAGUAGUGAAGAUCACAUUUACUGAAAAAGUAAUGCAAGGUAUGGACCCUUUUGCUGCAUAUGAACAAGUAAUAUACAUAGAAUUCUCCAAUUAGGUGGACAAUGUUAAAAUAAUUGCAAAAUGCUUGCAUUCCAUGAAACAAUUGUUUUACUGUACAGUAAUGAGAUUGCAAUUAUCUAGCCUUAAAUGAUCUUGAAAGUAACAACUUUUAUGAGAAACACAAAAUACAAGUACUAAUCUCAUGCUAGUAAAAACCACAACAAUGCCGUGUUUCCCAUGAUCAGGAUAAGGCAAUCGGAGUACGACGGAUGCCAUAUUUCUCAUGAUCAGGAUAAGGCAAUCGGAGCAUGACGGAUUCCAGACAUAGUAUUUAUAAACAAAAACUUUCAUACAUUUGGUCUAUCUUCGCACAAGAGAUUGGAUAGCAAAAAUCGAGGAGGAAAAAAAAAGGAAUAGAAUUAAUAUGCUACAGAUAUCUAGAUCACAAGAUUACACCAAUAUCAGAACGGAGUACCUGCGCAAGGGAGCCACUCACAUAUACAAUAACAGAAAAAAACAGGGGGCUUUGAGAAAUAGUACCCAUUCCCAGAGCCGAAAGCUCGACUUCGUUAUGCUGCUGCAUAUAUCUCUGCGUCAAUUAAAAGAAAACAAAACAUUAUUAUUCGCAAUCAGAUUAAAAAACUACUUGCUUGAGUAACGACUAGGAAACUCUUCAUUGGCAUGUUUCAUCCAGUUCUACUCUGCAGCAGCAUAAAUAACAAAAAGCAAGCAAUAAAUCACAAUAUAAAGUAUAAACAGCCAAUAACCAAAAACAGAUCGAUGCCCUACCAAAACACACUGAGAAGCAUCAUAAACGAAUCAAAGUCGCAUACUGGGCAAUUAAAGGAGAGGAAUUGAUAAGCUUGUUUCACCUUGGCGAGGUUGACGUAAAAGAAGAGCGGCUUCUUAGUGUUGGAGACCUGGAUCCGAUUCUUCUUGUGCGGCUCCGUGAUGCUGAGGUUGUUCACUCCCUCAGUGACCUCCUCCAUGGCAGCAGAACACACGAGAGGAAACAAAAACCCUAACCCUAACCCUAACCUCCGGAGAGAGAAGAAAGAGGGCGAGAGAACAGACAAAGGGGAGGAGGAAAGAAAAGUAGGCCGCGGCCUGCGAAUAGUGGAACCAGUUUCGUUUCCCUGUUAAUCCCUUUUAUAGAUAUGUAUAUAUAUUGUUUGUUGGUUUAUACAUUGGUUUUCCGAUUGCGUCGCGCUUAUGAAGCCGCAAUUCGGGUCCAGUCGAGCCAAGUCUUGGUUGGCGACUACAGGGGGGAGGGCGAGUUCGGGCUCGACUUAAUUAUUCUAGUCCGAUUAGGGCUAGGACUAGGACGUGCAGAAUAUAUAUCUCGUGUACCAGGAAUUCCUGUAAUUCUGUCCACAUGUGGUUAUUUUAUCAUGAUCUGGAACGACAGACACGAGAAUAUGCGUAUAUUUUUUAAAAUUUUAGAUACAGAAAUAAAUAAUAAUAAUAAUAAUAAUCUUAAUUAACUUUUAUUUAAUUAUUGCUCUGGUAAAUCGGGAGCGGCCCUUGUUUCAAAUUUCAAAAACAAGAAAUUACAGCCUCACAUUCAAUUGGCUGAGCGAGUUUGUAAGUAAUUCCAGCUUCAUAAAUACCAGAUAAGAAAGAAAUUUAAACAUUUACAAUAAUUGAAGAAAAAAAACCUUACCCACUAAACAACAAGAGAUCUGACCCACGAUCUGAUUUUAGCACACAAUAAGUAGAUCUGAUCGAUUUCCCUUAGUUGUUGAGAUAAGAUAAAAUUUGAGACUCAAAAGAGUUGAUAACAGCAGCAUCUUCAACAACGUAAGCAGAACCGAUCAAGCAAACCCAAUCCAAAUCAAGGAGAUAACAAGAGCAAACUUGGAAAAAGAGAAAUGCUAUUUGUUCACCCAAUUCAUGGAUGCAAAAUCUUAUAUCCUCUCAUCCAAAUAUUUAAACUUUAAACAUCCUUUUAGGUCUUUAGCAUAAAAAUAUAGUGAUAAAAAAUAAUAAUAAUUAGCCCUUGCAUAAGAAGAAUGUAAUAAUUACACUGACUUUUGAAUGCCCAAGUAACAUUCCUCAUUUUCAAAACUAAGUAAACAAUACCGACUGUCCCUAGAGCAAGUAGUAAAGUACUUGGUAGUUGGUACCCGAGGUCCCAAGUUCGAAUCCUAAUUGAUUCACAUUUUCAGCUAAGUUCAUUUCUAAAUGAAAUAAACGAAACAGAUAGCGUGGUAUAUCUCAAAAAAAAAAAAAAAAAAAAAACCCAACUAAACAAACAAUGAAACAGCAAUAAUGAAACUGUGAAAGCAGUGAACAGGGUUUUUGAACAAUUGGCUUAUAGACUAAUGCAAAAUGCAUCGUAUUCUGCACCUUUCUACAAAACAUUUGCCUGCUACAAAAUAUUCACCCAACUGCCUAUGUUAAAAAUUGAGUUAAGAACAAGAAGUUUUUUACUGCAAUCCCCCAAAACAAAAGCCGACUAAGAAACCUGAUUUAUCUGCACCAUCAUAGUUAGCCAAUACUAUGGAAUAAAGCGAGUAACAAAAAAUUAAAAGAGAGGUUCGCCAUCACUAACUAAUGUAUAGUGUGUGUGGUAUAUUAUGCACUCCCCAUGGAUGGGAAGAAAAGGAAAGGAGAUUGGGCUAGUCCCAACCAGUCGGAGUGAUCGAUUCAUGGCCAAAUUCAUAAUUAGCCGAGGCAUGGGAAUUCUCACCUGCACUUGUACCUCCAUAUGUUUCAGCCUGAUAAUUACCUCCCCACGAUGAAGAAUCCCUUCUAUAAUCACGGCCCCCAAACCUCCCGCCACUGUUGGGCCGUCGGCUUCUGCUUCUACCAUAAGAUGACAUGUCAGCAAACUGGAGAAGCCAAUCUGGGACUUCUUGUUUGGCUUCUCGCAUAAGGUCAGCCAGAGCUUUGGCUAGGGGCUGGUUACUAUCAGUGAAAAAUGCAGUAGCCAAGCCGGACUUUCCAGCUCUCCCAGUUCUGCCGAUCCGGUGAACAUAAUUGUCUAUGUCUUUCGGGAGAUCAAAGUUAAUCACAUGAGCAACAUGUGGAAUAUCUAGACCACGUGCGGCAAUAUCAGUAGCUACCAUAAUAGGUGUAGCACCACUUUUGAAGGAUUUUAACGCAAGCUCUCGUUCCUUCAAUAUGAAGGCAUAGAUAAAAGAGUCAGAUGGAAAGAAAAGCACAAACCGGAUGACUAAUACUAUUUAAAAACCAAAAAACAGAACAUCUCAGAAGUAAUUUUUCCUUUUUGUUAGAAGCCCAUGGAUUAAAGGAUUCUUAACUGAUUAUUUUCCACAGUUCCCACAGGUUUCUAAUCAAAGAAUCUCCUUAUUUCUUCCCAAGAUUUGUGAAACUAGUAACCUUCUUUACAUAUUAUUUCAUUUUCUUUUCCCGAUCAAAUAGAGAGAGAAUAGGGCACAACUUCUACUUACUCUCUGUGUUUUAUCUCCAUGAAUAGAUGUUGCAGGUAAACCUUUUACUGAUAACCAAUGCUCCAAGAAAUCUGCCCCUCUUUUUGUUUCCACAAAAACCAAAGUUAAAGCUUGCUGUGAGGCAAGCAAGCAAGCUCUGUAAGAAUCACGAAUGGUGCAUUCAAACAUUAUCGAAGUAACAAGAAAACUGACUUAUGUUUUGUAGUAACAAACAAUAAACAAAACUGAAAUGGAUUAACGAACUCAUAACAAAUGUUCACCACAGAAUACCUUGUUAUCAACUCUUCUUGCUCUUUGUUCAUAGAGAAGAUCCCUUAGAUGGUUUCCUUUCUCCACAUCAGAAAUAUAGUCGACUCUUUGGCAAAUUAAGGCAGAGCUUGAUCCAACCCUCCCAACAGCCAAACAAACGUAGUUUGAAAGGAAGUCAGCAGCUAGCCGCUGCACAGUAACAGGUAGAAGAAAUAGAAAAAAGAAUUAGUGCUUUGUUAUCUAACACAAAGAGCUCAACGAGAUAUAGUAUGUAAGAAAGGAUACGCCAAAAUAAUGUUCAUAGAAAACUUAGUUAUUUACUACAAAGAUGAAGCAUCCAAACUUAAAUUCUCAUGGGACUAAUAGGCAGAGAAUGGAAAGCAUCAUACCUGCAUCUCCAAUGGAAAGGUUGCACUAAAAAGCAUCGUUUGUCUAACGGCAGGAGGAGGCAUACCCAUCCGCUCAACUAUUUUCCUUACUUGAGGCUCAAAACCCAUAUCCAGCAUUCUAUCUGCCUCAUCUAAUGCCAGAUAUUUGAUUGUCUGAAGAGAAACCCUAGCUCUCUCGAUCAAAUCCACUAGACGGCCGGGUGUUGCAACAAGAAUAUCCACACCUCUCUCCAGGUCUCCAAACUAAAUUUAAGGAACAUAUGUAUAUAUUAAAGUGCAGUAAUAAUAAUGAGAUGAUAAACCAUCUCAACUCAAAUCCAUCGAAGUUAACUAGUGCUCUGUGGAUUGGCGUUAAAAAAAAGAAACAAAGUACAGCAGUAAAGAAACAUAAGAAGAAAUGAGAAAACUAAACAUCAACUGACAAAUGAAGCAAGCUAAACUACAAAGUUCAGCUAGAAUCGGCUAACAUAAAUACCACAAAUGGAAGGUUGAUGGAGAUGAAAACAUUUUCUCUCUAGAAUUACCACACUCUAAUUAAGACCUAAUAAGAAAUAAUGGGCUUAAUGGGCUUUACUUUUUCUUUCUAGAAUUACCACACUCUAAUUAAGACCUAAUAAGAAAUAAUGAUCAACAAACAGUCUGAUAUAAAAUAAGUAGAACUACACGUGAAAUCAGCCUGUGUCAUACAGGGAAAAUAAUAAUAACAAUAAAGUAUGUACCAAAUUUCCUGUUGACACAACCAACUUGAGUGCUAGUUGUUCAUGCAUGAAGUCUUUACAAGAAUCAUAUCAGAAAAUUCCAAGGUGGGCCCACAGCGAAUGCAAAGCACAUUCUAUUACAAUAAAGUAAUAAAGCCAAGAGGUUGUAACACGCCUGCUGGUCAUUACAGGACAAAACAUUUAUUUAUAGGAGCCCUUUGACCCGGCAUAAGCUCCUGUCAAAAAAAGGGGUGCUGUUAAAUAGAGCUACUAACAAAACAGUAACAUAGUUCUUCCUCUACAUUCCUAUAUAGCUGGUUUCACUGCUAUCUUCCUCUACAACACAUAUAGCUAGCUACCUACCAUGCCAUUACAAUUCCCAUUCCCAUCCCUGUUUGCAAAGGCAAGUACCCAAUAAACAAAAGUACUAACCAACCUGCUGAUAAAAGGGAGCACCUCCAUAAACCACAGCAACCCUGACACCCGUUUGAUGAGAGAACUUGUUCGCUUCCUCAUAUAUCUGCGAGGCGUAAUAAUAAACAGUAUUAAUACCCAAGAUUCAACGAAUCCAAAUAUUCUGCAUUUUCUGUUGUGACGCAGGAUAGAUGUAUAGGACCUGGCAGGACAAUUCUCUUGUCGGAGACAGAAUAAGAGCGUUCGGAGACGCAAUUCGCCUGCCAUUUGCAGCUCUCUNGUAAAUGGUUAAGAACACUGAUCAUCGACUUGGUGGAUUUUUUUUUCUUUUUUUUUUUUUGUUUUUCUAAAAGAGCAAUGCUAUAUCUAAUUAAUUAACGAGCAAUUUUUGGGUUGUAGUAGCCUAGGCCCUAGCUCUUACAACAUGUUCACGCUGCAUGUGUUGCAGAUUUUAUCUGCGAAGGUGUACAACGUACUGCUGCUCGGAGUUCUGGUGGUGACGGCGAUAGCUUCGCCGGCGGCGCUGUUCACCCACCGCCCCCCGCGGCGCCACGUCGCCUACAAGCGGCGGAACCUGCAGCGCUCGAAGCCCGACGGCGAGCUCCGGAUGGUGGCGUGCGUGCACACGAACCGCAACGUGCCCUCCAUCAUCAGCCUCCUGGAGAUCUCCAACCCGACGAAGCGGUCGCCGAUCUUCGUCUACGCCCUCCACCUCAUCGAGCUCAGCGGCCGCGCCUCCGCCAUGCUCAUCGUCCACAACCCGAUCCAGACGAAGCCCGGCGGCCACCACCACCGCAGGGCCGGCGCCUCCUGUGGUGGCGGCGGCGGCGGCGGGCAAGUUUUGAGGAUCCCGCUGAUGAUCGGGAAGCAGAAGGCAGCGGUCUUCCCCGACCCAGUCUGCGCGCACGCCAUCAGGUCGCGCCCGGCCAAUGCGAUGGGAAUGGCGUGGCGCUGCACCGGCGUCGGCUUCGCGAACCCGCACCGUGCGAUGUUCCGGUUCACCGCCUCGCCGAGAUCGAUCUCGGCGAAGCUGCUCGCGGGCGGAGGCACGUCGGCGCCGCUGGCCUCCACGGGGAUGUCGUCGUACGCAUCGAAGUUGAUGCCGGCGGGGCCCUCGUCCUCCGCGAUCCGCAGAUCGGCGAGCCGAUCCGCGGUCUCGAAAGGGUUCGGGGAAUGAGGUUUCUUCGGCGUGCGGUGGUCGCGACGGGGCCGGUGGCGGUGGCGGCGGAGGCGAUCGGAGUCUCGGGAGGGAGAGAACUCGGCGGCUGGGGAGGAGGAGGAGGAGGACGACGACGACGGGGGCUUGCUACGGAGGUGCGGGGGCACGUACGUGGGGCGGGUGAGGCGAGCGAUGGGCGGAGCCGCCUCUUGAAGCGUCUCGUCGGACCACGACGCCGCCGACAUUACUCCUAAAACUCUAGAAUCCUAAAGCAAGCCUAGCGGUACAGGAAAAGAACCCUAACGUCACCAUACGAGCGCUCGAAAUGGCAGAGACGAACCCUAACGUAGCAACAACAGGAGGAGAAGAUGAGAUGUGAUACCUACACCAAUAAGCCUUGAACGAGGAAGAGCUAGCUGUGAACGAACCCUACGGGAGAGGAGAGGAAGGUAGCUGGUUGAUCAUGAGUCUCCCCACAUCAAGCUAGAGAGAGAGAGAGAGAGAGAGAGAGAGAGAGGGGGGGGGGGGGGGGGGGGGGAAGGGAGAGCGCUCGUGGAGCCCCAAAAACCCUACGCUACCAUUUCUAUUUCCAAGUAGGUGGUGGCCGGGUGUCGCCAUGGGGAAUAGGCAAGGACGGGAAGGGCAUUUUCGGAAAGAGGGCGCUUCCAUUUCCCGCGCGCCCGAGCGUGACGCGGCGAUGCGGGAUGGCAACAUGGGACUUUUUUCGAAACUAACCCUGUGAAAUUUCAUAUUUGCCAAACUAAUCCUGUGAAAAUUUUAUUUGUGAAACUAACCCUCCUCUCGCCACCUCAGCGGCCAGAUCAGCAUUUCUCAUAAAGACGGUGAUUCGUUCACCGUCUAUAAGUAUAGCUCUUGAAGACGGUAAAUGGUUAACCGUCUUAUUCAGACGGUAAAUCGUUAACCGUCUUCUCUAGGCGUAGCAUGCCGCCUUUUCAGCAAUUCCCCGCGCACCCUACCACAUUCUCAGCAAUUCCCCGCGUGGCACAAGGUGCCUGUAUAAGACGGUUAACUGUUUACCGUCUUCUAUAAGACGGUAAACAAUUUACCGUCUUAUCUCCCUAGCCAGCCUAAUUUGGCCAAGUCCUUGAGAGGGGGCCUAAAACACAGAUAAGACGGUGAAUGGGUUACCGUCUUCAUUAGACGGUUAACUAUUCACCGUCUUCAGAGUAAAUUGGCCAAGUUGUGGUUGGGCUAAAACACAGAUAAGACGGUUAAUAGUUUACCGUCUUAUCUAAAGACGGUGAAUAGUUCACCGUCGUAUCUGUGUAAAAGAACCCAGUCCAGGACUUAGC